UUGAUGUGAGGAACAAUGCUAUAAAUGACACAUUUCCAGCUUGGCUCGGAACUCUUCAAGAGCUGCAGGUCCUUAUAUUAACGUCGAACAAGUUCCAUGGACCUAUAAGUACUUGUCAGACUAAGCUUUGCUUUCCCAACUUGCAAAUUUUUUAUCUUUCUCGUAAUGAUUUCAGUGGCUCACUUCCUGCAAAAGUUUUUGGAAACUUCAAGGCAAUGAUCAAAUUAGAUGACGAAGACACAAGAGAGAUCAAGUACAUGGAAUCUAAGUCAAAUUUGUCAUUUGACACAUCUUAUGAGGAUUCAGUGAGUUUGGUAAUCAAAGGGCACGAUAUUGAGCUACAAAGAAUCAGCACAAUUACGACAACCAUAGAUCUCUCAAGCAACCAUUUUGAAGGUGUCAUUCCGGAAACACUAAAGGAUCUCAGCGCACUUUGGCUACUCAAUUUAUCCCACAACAAUCUCAUAGGUCAUAUUCCAAUGGAAUUGGGGCAAUUGAAUACACUUGAAGCUUUAGAUCUCUCCUGGAAUCGGCUCACUGGAAAGAUUCCGCAGGAAUUGACAAGAAUAAACUUUCUAGCAGUCUUAAACCUCUCCCAAAAUCAUCUCGUCGGACCAAUUCCUCAAGGUCCACAAUUCAACACAUUUGGAUAUGACUCAUAUGGUGGCAACCUUGAUUUAUGUGGUCUUCCUUUAUCAAAGCAAUGUGAAACAAGUGAUUCAUCACAUGUUCCUCAACAAGAAGAUGAAGGCGAGUCAUAUUUUUUUAGUGGAUUUACGUGGGAAUCAGUAGUCAUAGGCUACAGUUGUGGUCUAGUUGUUGGAACUUUUCAUGUGGAGUCUCAUGUUUAAAUAUCGUAAGCCAAAAUGGUUUGUGGAAUUUUUUGAUGGACUCAUGCCUCACAAAAGAAGAAGGCCAAAGAAGAGAGCUCAGAGAUGACGGACUUAAUGGAAGAUUGAGAGGGUAACCUUGUCUUUGUUUGAUUUUGUGGACUAAUUAGUGAACUUUUCUGGUUCUGUUUUUGUCUUUUCAAUUUUCUAUUUGUUGUUUGUAUAUGUUUGAUAGAAACAUAAUUAUAUGUGUGUUAUUCAAGUUAUGUUAGUUUGUUUCUGUUUCAAGUUGAUAGAAGUGAUUUACACAGCCACUCAUUAGUUAUGUUACUCAGACUCUUCAAAAAUGUCAACGACUACAUAUUGAAUUCUUCAAAAGUAGAGCAUUUUUUAUGAAACCAACACAAAUGCAACACCAUUUUAUUUUUAGGAGAGUCGGAGCAACAUAGCUCAUCAGCAUAACAAAAACAGGAAAUUGCACAAGCAAAUAGAUCAGUUUGGUUUAUGAUUGAAAUCACUUGAUAUUAGAAAGUUUAUAUUUUUGAAAAUUUAAGUAGAAGAGUACUCAAAACUACAUAAUUUGCUAAUAAUUUUGUGGUUCUGCAUCUUUAGAAUCAUAAAUCACUUAAAAUGUUCUCUAACUCAAUAUCAACUUCCGCAAAUUUAAUUUUAGUAAGUUUUUACAUAUAUUUAUACUUCGUGUACGAAAAAUAAUGUCUCUGGUUGUUCAACAACUAAUUCAUAUUGUUUGAUUAUCAAUGCGGAAAAGGUUUUUUUAAAAGGGCAAAAUGUUCUAUACAAGGAUUUUAGAAGUGACUAGUACUCAUUCAUGGACUACAAGUGACUUUGAGUCUUCCUGGAAAUUGACUUAACACUUAGGACAACCACAAAUUAUUUGUUUGGAUGUGUUUCUUUUCUUUCGCUAAUUUAUACCUCAAUAGUCCCAUGCAUAGACAAGUCAACAACGCUACUUUAUGAAAUACUGUUUGGUUAAUUGUUCACUAUAUUUUAAUGUGGAGGUCGUUGUAAUAAUUAAGAAAUGGAAUAGUGUUUGGUUAAUUAUAGCAUCCUUUCUUCCGUGACUACUUAUUUUAUUGACUUAUUUAUAUGUUGACAAUUAUCAUGAACCCAUAUUAUAUUAUUACUAGGUAAAUUACCCGUGCUUCGCACGGAAUUGAACUAUUUUAUUAAGCUUACAUAUGAUCAUUCGAUAAUAUUCAUAUUUUCGAUACAUACACUACAUUGUCAAGAUCAUUUUAUCUUAAGGCAAAACGUUCCUCCAAAAUCUUAAAGUGCUAUAUUUUUUUAAUUUUCAUUUUUGUUAUACAAAUAUUAUGAGUCAUAGAUAGAUUUUAAGUAUAAGAAAGAAGUCUAAGAAAAUCUCCUUGGAAAUAGUUGGUCAGAAGUAAUGGAAUAUUUUUAAUUCCAAGAAGUUAUAAAGAACAACAUCAGACGUUAAUAAAGAGACCAAAAAAGGUCGAACAACAACACUUCCAAGUAAAGUGGAGUAUCACGUCCAUACAAGAUCAUAAUUAACUAAAUUCAAAUGGACGACCAUGGACUCCUUUCUUAUGAACCUCCAUCAAUCUCUUUUUUAUUAUUGUAUGCCAUAUCAAGUAUAUGCUAAAAAUGACCCUAAAAUUGUUAUUAUCAUAAAUGUUUUUUUGUCAUUGUCUCAAAAUAGUCAUUACUAUUUUAAAGGUUUCAUAUCACCGGCCCCAACUUAUUUGGAUUAAACCAUAGUUAUUGUUAUGGUUAUAGUAUGCAGUUACAAAAAAAUUAAUGCAAUUAUCAGCCAAGCAAUAGGUGACAUCUGAAUGUUCACAACGGGAUAUUCUAAACAAAAAAUUUGACACAUAACAUAUUAAAAUCUCACAACAUAAUUUUGUGAGCACUUGAACUCACAAAUAUCCUAAAAUAAUAAUAAAGACAAUCUUACUUUCCUAACAAUCAAGAAGAAAAAGGCUCGUUGCUUAAUAUAUUUUUCAAAAAGAUAGUCUUUCGGGUUGUAUCCAAGUUCACAGUUCACAAAUUUAGUUGAAAGAAGCCAAAAGAAAGAGUUAUUACUUCUUUAUCAAAAAAAUUUAAAACUUUAUCAAAAGAAUGAGUUAUCACUACAACAAAAAUGAUCUUUAACGAUAAUUAAUAGCUUAAUUAUCGCUAAAUAUGUAUUUUCAGAGGCAAUUGGUACUCUGUAUAAAUGUUCCUAAAGUCUAUAGCAACAUUGAAUCCAAUGACAGUUAAUUCAUGUCGGUAAAGGCUGUAGCACUCUUCGUGAACGUGCAUAUUUAUUGCCGAUAAAAAAUAUUUUUGUUGUAGUGUAUUUUGGACAUUUGUUAGUUUUAAGAAAACUUGAUCUCUUAUUAUGCCCAAAAAGAAGAGAAGAGGAAAUAUGACAAAUUAGUUAACUUGCGAUAAAUGAUGUGGACUAAUUGUCUCUAUACAAAUUUUCUAGGAAUAGUGCAAUGGCAUACAAAAUGUUUGUACCUAAGAAAAAACAAUCAAAAUAAUAUACUAACUGUGGCAAACAAGAGAGAAAUCAUUUUGGUUCUUUUAACAAACUUCAUCAUUGGUUCCGUACUAGUUAUCAGAUUUUUGUUGUUGUGUGCUAUCAAAUAUAGCACAACCCACAAGCAAUUUUCCCAAAAAGUAUAUGAAGAAAAACUGUAGAAAGGGACAAAAGAGAAGAUAAACUUUCAAUCAUCCUCAUUGAAAUUUUGAACAUAAUUAAAAAAAAAGUCACCAAAAUAGCAAAAAGAAAUUGCAAUAGAUACAUGAAUCACUAUGAUUUAUAGUAAAAAAUUAAGCUUCAUGAAAUAGGAGGAAAAAAACUUUGAGAAAUGAAAUGCACUUUAUAAGAAACUUAAUUAAUGUAUUUGAUUUCGAAAAAAAAUACAAAUAAUAGUGGUAGAAAUAAAAGAUUUGUUUACUAAAGAACCAAAUGUAAUGAAUUCAGUCAUCAACCAUUUCAGCAGUGUUAUGAGUUGUGCACUGAGAGAUCCAAGAGCAGUAAUGUCGCAUUGCAAUUGAAAUCAAUUUUCUUUGUUUAUAUGAAGAAACCUGUAGAAAGUGACAAAAGAGAGGAUCAAUUUUCAAUCAUCCCUGCUGAAACUUUAACAGAGUUAAAAAAAAGGUCACCAAAAUAGGAAAAUGAAAUUGCCAUAGUUACAUGAAUCACCAUGACUUACAAUAAAGAUUAAGAUCCAUGAAAACUUUUAGGAAUGAAAAAAAUUCCUAAAAACUUAAUUAAUGUAUUUGAAUUUGACUACCCUAUAGAGGGAAAAAAACCUACAAAUUAUAGUGGCAGGAAAUUCCUCUAUUUAUAGACAACAUAGAGUAGUGUGAACAAAUUUUUAUUGUGCCUUAUCCGAGAUGUCACAACUCUUUGGAAAAGUUACAACCCUUCAGAAAGGUCACAACCUUUCAUAAAAGUCAUAAUUUUUCAUAAAAGUUGCAACUCUUCAUAAAAGUCACAACUUUUCAUAAAAGUCACAGCUUUUAAUGAAAAGGGAAGGCUAGUUUUGGAAAUAAAUAAAAUUUAAAAGGGAAUCCUAGUUUAUGGUGGCGCCACGUAGGCGGGCCUAGGGUUCUCUUUUAUAUAAAUUUUUGAUUUUUGAUAUAUGAUUUUUACGUUUACCUUUUUUAUUCUUCUUUCUAUUUUUAUUCUUUCAUUAUUAAAUAUUCUAAAGUCUAACCUUUUGCAUUAUACAAAAUAUAUUGUUGGGUGUUAAUAAAAAUAUCAAAUUUAUUUUUUGGUGUAUUCUUUAAAUUACAAGCACUACAACAAACACUACAAUAAAAACAACUUGUUGCGGUUUCUGAACCUUUCAUAUAAUUCAUUAACAGGCCACCUACCACAAUUUUAUUUCCAUAAUCUAGGGUAUCUUGAUCUUAAAUUUAACUCCCUUCAGGGGCCACUAUCUUCAUCCAUUUGAAACAUGAGCAUACUUAGACUUGGGGAAAUUGAAUGUGCUUGAAGCAAUGAUUAAAUUAGAUGACGGAGACAAAGGUGAGAUCAAAUAUAUGGAACAAUUGAGUGAAUAUUCAAUGUAUGAAGAUUCAGUGAGUUUGGUGAUCAAAGGCCAUGAUACUGAGCUAGAAAAAAUCAACACAAUUAUGACAACCAUAGAUCUCUCAAGCAACCAUUUUGAAGGUGUCAUUCCAAAAAUACUAAAGGAUCUUGGCUCACUUCGGUUACUCAAUUUAUCACGUAACAAUCUCAAAGGUGAUAUUCCAAUGGAACUGGGGCAAUUGAAUGUGCUUGAAGCAAUGGAUCUGUCCUGGAAUCGGCUCACUGGAAAUAUUCCUACUGAAUUGACAAGACUAAAAUUUCUAGCAGUCUUAAACCUCUCUCAGAAUGUUCUUGUCGGUCCAAUUCCUCAAGGUCUACAAUUCAACACAUUUGGAAAUGACUCGUAUGGUGGCAACCUUGAUUUAUGUGGUCUUCCUUUAUCAAAGAAAUGUGGAACGAGUGGUUCAUCACAUGUUCCUCAACCAUCGGAGUCGUAUUUCUUUAGUGGAUUUACGUGGGAAUCAAGGCUACAGUUGUGGACUAGUUGUUGGAACUGUCAUGUGGAGCCUCAUGUUUAAAUAUCGUAAUCCAAAAUGGUUUGUGGAAUUUUUUGAUAGACUCAUGCCUCACAAAAGAAGAAGGCCAAAGAAGAGAGCUCAGAGACGACGGAUUUAAUGGAAGAUUGAGAGGGCCAACUUGUCUUUGUUUGAUUUUGUGGACUAGUUAGUGAACUUUUCUGGUUCUGUUUUUGUCUUUCUGUUUGUUGUUUUGUAUAUGUUUGAAAGAAACAUAAUUAUUAUAUGUGUGGUAUUUUAGUAUCAAUGGUUAUUCAAGUUAAGUCUAUUUCUGUUUCAAGUUGACAGAAGUGAUCUACACAGCCACUCAUUAGCUAUGUUACUUAGACUCUUCAAAAAUGUCAAUGGGUACGUGUUGGAUUCUUCAAAAGUAAUGCAAUUUUUAAGGAAUCAACAUGGGUGUCAUUAUAUUUUAGGAUAGUCGAAGCAACAUAACUCAUCUUUCUUAACAUUUUCUGUUUCUGUAUUUAUUUCUUUUAAAGAUCAUUGCUUUGAUCUUAAUGGCUUUCAACCCAUAUUAGGAACACUUGAAAUGGCUGAACUCAUACACACAGAGGAUAGAAACUAUUCAGCUGUUGACUGAAGUGAUCCACUUAUUAGUACAACAAAACAGGAAAAGGCUACAUCCACCUCUGGGGCUCAUGUUGUUCUGUUUCUUCAAAUGCAAAACACUCUCUAUCAGGAUUUUCUUUAUUUUCAAGGUUCGAAUCCGAAACCCUUGGUUCAAUUUUACCUGGAACCAUGCAUUUAGCAUAACUAUAUGUCCUAUUGCAUUAUAGUUAUUAUACAAAGUGGAAAAGUUCAAGGGAUAAUAACACCAUCUCAAAAGUCGGGUGUGUAACUGAAAAUCUAAAUCAACUUUAGGGGUAUACUUAGGGCUGUUCAAAACUGAACCAUAACCGAUAAGUCAAUCGCAAAAUUGACUUAUUGGUAUUGGAUUAUCGGAUUAACGGUUGGUCAACGGAUUAAAAUUUUAUAGUUAAUGGUGCGGGGCGGAUUACUCAAUGGUGCGGGCCGGAUCACUCAAUUUCCUUCUAGGGUAAACCAUUAACCUUUUAAAAAUUAUCGUAGUUAGGAUAUUUAUUAAGUAAAUACUAAUGCGCUUGCACCCUCAAAAUUUAGUUCACAUGUGUUGUCACGCCCUGAGCCUACACCCUGGACGUGGCGGGCACUCGAAGACCAUUGCUGGUCCCAAGCGAACUGUUGGCCUAGUUUACUUGACUCAGCGGAAGACUUAAACUAAACAAAGAUAAGUUCAUAUAAUAAAUUGGAAUGUUAUAAAGGAACAUUCAACUGGACAUUAAGGCAAACUCAAGUCUGAACAUGGAGUAAUGACAAUGAAAAAACUAAAAACUAACAUCUGACUGUCUAUGAAGCCUCUAAUAACAACUGAGAUGGAUGUUGGGAUAGACCCCACAACAUCCUAAUAAACUAAACUGGAAAGCAAUGAAAUGGAUCCUCCGGAAAGCAAGGAGGCUCACCAACAGACUCUGGACUGCUCACUGGAUCAACGAUGCGUCAGGAUGCCGAUCCUAGUUACCUGUGUUUGCAUCAUAAUACGAUGCAGACCAACUGACAUCAGUACAUUGAGUGUACGAGUAUGCGAGUUGGAAUGCUAAAACAACAUAGACUAGAAAGAAUCUGAGAGAAACUGAAGAACUUACAUGACUCAACUCAACAUGACUGAACUCAUUUCAUUAUAAAUCAGUUUAAAAGCAAGUGCAAUAUAAAGAAAAGUUGUUUAAAAACAUGAUAUUAACUCUGUGUGUAUGCAAGAUACAAAUAACUCUGAGAUGUAUUUAAAAAUACAAUAAACUGAUGUAUAUAAAAAUACAAUAACUUCUGUGGGAGUUUCUCUAACCGACAACCACCACUUAUGAAACUAAGUGGUGAUACAACGUUUUACCUCACGUUACCCAAGGACCAUCNNNNNNNNNNNNNNNNNNNNNNNNNNNNNNNNNNNNNNNNNNNNNNNNNNNNNNNNNNNNNNNNNNNNNNNNNNNNNNNNNNNNNNNNNNNNNNNNNNNNNNNNNNNNNNNNNNNNNNNNNNNNNNNNNNNNNNNNNNNNNNNNNNNNNNNNNNNNNNNNNNNNNNNNNNNNNNNNNNNNNNNNNNNNNNNNNNNNNNNNNNNNNNNNNNNNNNNNNNNNNNNNNNNNNNNNNNNNNNNNNNNNNUUAUCCCGGGAUUAACUUACCUUAUCCCGGGAUUAACUUACCUUAUCCAUUACACCAAACGACCCCUAAGUCUUAAAACAAAGUUAAAAGCCUUUGCAAAAGACUUCUUGAAAAGACUCUAAGAAUUUCUUAGACUUGGCUCUUGACUUUCCUUGAAUUUAAAUUUAGGAAUUCAAGGUUAUGGUUUAUGUUUCUGGAUGAUUUCUAGACGUUUAGAAGUCAUUUAGAGUAGUUAGAAUCAAUGGAAAGUGUUAGUACACUUUAGAAGAACUUAAAUAGGCUAGACGACGGAAAACUGACGAAAAACGACGAUUUGGGCGCAUCCCGGGCGCGCUGCGCCAGCCCCAACUUACUGGGGCUCAAAUCUGGCGCACUGUUGGCGCGCUGCCCCAUCCCCUCGGGCGCAUCUGGGGCGCGUUGCGCCAGCCUCCCUUCAAGCAAAAUUCUAACGAACUUUUGCUCUCGUUUUCUGAUCCUAAAUCGUUUUAAUCUAAUUCUUUUUCUCAAUUUCACUUUAGAUUUAUGUACCCAAAUCAUAUACACAAGGAUCUAACUCAAGGAACUCAAGAACUAACAACUUAGUCAUCAAGAACUCCUAAAACUCAACUCAUGUUCAAGAACAAAAGUAAUUCAAGAACCACAUUCAAUAACAUUCAAAAUCCAAUCUUUUUGAAAUGAAAUCGCUGAAUCAAACAUGCUUGGCACGUGGGUAAACGAACCCAACAUUGAGAUAGACUCACAUACCUUAAUUGAUUGAAUCCUCGGCCAAAUUCGCAAGCAAUUCCUUACGACGACAACGAAUCUAGCUUUUUCCUCCUUUGUCUUUUCUUGCGUUCUUCCUCCAAAACCCUAGUUCUAUUUGGUAAAUGUCUAAACUGAUUUAAUUCAGCUUAGACCCCUAAUUAAUUACCAAAAAUGAAUUAAAAUAAAAGGGUAAGGAAAAGACCAAACUACCCUUUAAAAUCCGGAUUGGACAUUUCCUUAAUCCAACAACCCAACUUCCAAAGGGAAUAUCUCACUCAUAUGAACUCGUAAUCGUGCAAACUUGGCGGCGUUGGAAAGAUAAUUCCAAGAGCUUUACAAUUAUACCUGGAAGUACACCUAACUCAUCUUGAUCUAGGAGUUAUCUCCGUUUGAAGUUGGCCCAAAAAUCAACUUUUCUUAACUUAAACAAAUUUUCCAGAUUUUUGUUAUUUCCAAAAAAAAUGACUAUUUCAACUUCUUAGCUUCUUCCUAGUUAUUUCAAUUUGUGAGAUGUUACAUGUGUCUCACUGUGAUUUACAAUUACUGAAUUACCAGCUUAAGUAGGGCUAGAAAAAAAUGUUUUGUUUGAUGGGAGAUCAAUCUAAUUGUGAUUGAAAGUGAAAGAAGGGAGCACGGAAUGUUGGAGCCAAUACACCAACCGAUAACCAUCCAUUAAUUCCUAACCCGAUACCGAGUCAACCGAUAGCUUAUCCAUUGGCUAGCAGAUUAAUUUCUUUCUCGUGUUUGUAAUUUUAUCUUGUUUUAUUUUUUCUUUCACUUAGACUCCAUAUUUAUUUAUUAAGAAAUUAAUUAAAUAUAUAAUUAUGAAUUUGGUAAUUAGAAUGAGUUGUGAGAGUUAAACGAUAAAUUCAAAAUUUAUAGAAAUCAAAUUUUGGCUCCAUUUCUGAAAGGUGAGGUAAAGAUAGGGCUUGGAGUUUAUGAAAUCUAGAUUUUAGAAAAAGACCGCACCUUAAUAGGCUUUUGAUAGAUUAUUUGAAAAUUUUAAAUAUUAAUAUAUGAUUUGAGCUGAAGUUACUAAACACUUUUCGAACCCAAGCUAUACUUCUUUCUCAGGGUAUACCCUCCACAACUUCACUCUUAAUCAUAUAUUUUGACUUUGAAUCAUUCUAGUACUAGAAUAAGGAUAAUCAGCUAGGCAAUUAAGCAACACUUUCUGGCAUGGUGGUACAACUGCCAACAACUAGAAACAUUUUUCAUAUUUCUUAAAUUCAAUCAAUGUAGUAACUUGUAAACUUAAGUUUCAUAGUUAAGAUAUGGUAAAAAAAAUAAAAAUAAUAUCUCUUUUAUUGAGUAAGGUAUAAUCUACAGAAAUUUUUAUGGGCCUCAAAAAUGGGCUGCUCCUUUUAAACAUGGGAUGGGCUUCUCUUCUCUUAAUGGGCCUUAUGCUGCACGAGCCUGUAUUAGUUGGAGCUCCGAAACAGGAAUAGAACACCGGGUUAAGGAUUUGAAAAUUAUCUUUCCAAAUGACAUUCAAGCUAGGUGCUCUAAUAUAUUUUACUCGCUUUCCUUAACUUCCUUGAUUUAUCUUUAUCUAUACUGACAGUGUAAAACUUAUCACUUAUAAUAGUUAACACGUUAUUUUCCUGAUUUCAAAUUAUUAAUCUCAUGAAGUUUCACUUAUAGUUACUUUUAGAUGACUUGAUAGUGAAAAAAAAUAUUCUUUGAAACUUUGUUUCAAAUUGUCUAGCAUACAAUUAUCCCAGAACAAUGUAGGGGCGGAUCUAGUGAAGCAGCUACGAGUUCAUUCGAACCAAGUAGCUUUGCUUAAGACUCUUUAUAUAUGUUAAAAAAUGAAUUACAUAUUUUUCAACCUUUCAAAAUAAAUGGUACUUGUAUUGUUACCAUGUAGUACCUAAGUGUAAUGGUUACGCAUAAUUUGUAAAUUUUGUAAUGAAGGGUCUAUCGGAAACAACCUCUCUUCUCUACCUCCACAAGUUAUGAUAAGGUCUGCAUACACACUACCCUCCUCCUCAGACCGCACUUGUGGGAUUACAUUGAGUAUGUUGUUGUUUGUUCAUUUAGUUGUUGUGAAAAACUAUAAGAUAGUACCAUUUUUUGUUGUGUGUUACACAUGAUUCAGUCCUUAAGACAGCAAAGCUGGUCUUCUGUAGGAGAUAUUUGUCUCAAGUUCACAUUUGAUAUGUGUUACACAUGGUUCUAUAUAUGUGGAUAGGAAAAAUCUAUGUAGGAGAUAUUUGUCUUAAAUAACAUCACCAUUGAUGCUGGAAUACAAAUCACUUUCCCUAGCCUAGAAGUUUUGCAGUUUUCUUGUAAACUGAAGGAUUUUUCACACUUGUUGAGAAAUGUAAAGACAUUUGUGUACUUGGAUAUUUCUGCUCCCAAUUGCACACGCAAAUGUAUGUGGUCGCGGAAGAAAUAUAGUGACUCUUAACAGAAUCGGAUUAUAUAUCGAACCCAAAAGACUUGUCAAUUAACUAUUUUACUAAAUUAUACUGGUCUAAUUAUUUAUUUAAGAGUGCCAAAAGAAUUGACUUUUAUUUAAAUACUAAGAAUGCAAGAAUUAAAUAAUAAAAUUACUUACAAUGGUUGGAAAAUUUCAGGGCCGCAACAUGCAUAGGGUUCAUGUAUCACAUCUCAUGCAUGAAUUAACUACAGUUAUCAAAUUACUGAUUUACACGGUUGAUUUUAUGAUCGAUCAUGGUCUUCCGACCUCUAAUCGUCUACUCAAUUUAGUUGUUUAACUACAUCGUUGAGUGAGGAUAGACAGUCCUAAUUGACGAGCAUUUAUAUUUCCUCAUGUUUUGUGACCAAGCUAGGUGUUCGUCUGAGCGUCAUUCCUAAACACAAAUCAACUCAAUUUAAUGGAAGAUCAACCUUUUUGUAUCCAUUGGUCUAUCUACCUUAGUGUCUCCUGAUUUUAAGAGUAGACAAUAGAUUUAUCUCUAUGAUGGCCAGUCAAGAAAUACUAAAACAAGAAUACAAAAGUAAUUUAAGCGAUAAUCGAUGUUCAACACUUACACAUAGCUACAACCCUAGAACAAGGGCCUUUAACUACUAAUGUCUAAGAAAAUAUAUAGAAGCCUAAAAAGUAUUGACAACUUUAUAGUUAUACCUAUGAUUCAUCUCCCCCAAUAAUUAUUUCUAUGAACUAUUUAUAGAUAUAGAAAAUUCCAAAUAAAAUAACUGAGUCCAAAACAAAUCGGAAAAUCAAAACCAAACGGAAUUUGACUUCCACGUCAACAAUGGUCGUCCAACUGCCUCAAUUCUCUUUGCUGCCUUCAGAAUCAGCCACGUGGCAACUAAUGUAGGUAAACUUCAUUAAUUUCCUUUCUUUGUACGUUUGAAUGAAUAUUAAGUUGUCUGCUUGAUUUUCUUCUAUAAUCUUUCAUCUUUAAUUCGUUUUAGGUCCAAAUUUUUUCAUCUUCACACCAAUUUAAUCUUAUAAAUAAAAUACACUACUUAGCAUAAUUCAUAAAAUUCAUGCUAAAAAAGGACAAAUAUAUAUAAUAAAUGUAAGGUAAAUAAUGAUUAAAAUAUAUAUUUUUAGCCUCAUAUCAAUAAGAUUCGUGGUCAAAUCCCUAACUGGUUUAAUGGCAUGAGGUGGGGUUCGUAAACCUUUCACAUAAUUCAUUAACAGGCCACCUACCAAAAUUUCAUUACCAUAAUGUAGAGUAUCUUGAUCUUAAAUUUAACUCCCUUCGGGGUCCACUACCUUCAUCCAUAUGUAACCUAAUAUAUAUUCCUUUAACAAUCUGUACAUUGAAGCAACUCACACUUUUAGAUCUUUGGAGGAGAAAUUCCUGCAUUUGAAAGUUCGAUUUUUUUGUGUUUGCCGUAGCAGUGGACUUAUAGGCCUAUUCAUCCUUGUAAUGAAAAUUGAACAUGAAUGAAAAUAAAAACCAAAUGAAAGAAAAAAAAUAUGGAGUAUAUAUUAUUUUGUUAGGUCUUCUUCGUCCUCUAACAAACACUACAAAAUAUGAGUAAUAAGUUGUUAGAAGUGAGUAGUACUCAUCUAUGGACCACAAGUUGCGUACCAUUUAUGAUUGUAUAGAUUCCAUGGAAAAAUUGCAUAGAAAUUUAAUGCAUUUGUACAACUUGGUUUCCUCUAUUCCGAAUGUACAAUAAUUGUUCUCACAAUUGGUUCAAUGACGCGUUUUGACCUUUUAUGAUUAUAUAGAUUCCGUGGAAAAAUUGUACUAAAAUUUAUUGCAUUCAUACAACUUGGUUUCACUUGAUUAAAGGGACCAAUUUCACAUCAUCUUGCUUAACACAUACUGCAGAGAUAGUCGAUCUAUGACCUCGAAAUGAACAACAACAUCUAGAGAAAAUGAGGACAUAGUGAGUAUUAUAUUGUUAAGUCUUCUUCGUGCUCUAAAAAAUCUCGUGAAACACUACAAAAUAUGUGUAACAUGUUGUUAUAAGUGACUAGUACUUAUUCAUGAAGUACAGGUGACUUUGAGUCUUCCUGGAAAUUGACUUUAACACUUAGGAUGUGUUUCUUUUCUUUCGUUAAUUUGUACCUCAUAGUCCCAUGCAUAGACAAGUCAGCAAUGCUACUUUAUGAAAUAUCGUUUAGUUAAUUAAUUGUUCACAUUAUUUAAUGUGGAGGUCGUUAUAACAAUUAAGAGAUGAAAUGGUGUUUAGUUAAUUAUAUCAUCAUUUCUUACGUGACUACUUAUUUUAUUAACUUAUUUAUAUCUGGGCAAUUAUCAUGAACCCGCAUUAUUAUUUUUACGUUUAUCUUUUUUAUUCUUUCAUUAUUAAAUACUCUAAAGUCUAUCAAACGGUAAAACCUUUUGAAUUAUACAAACAAUAUUGUUGGGUGUUAAUAAAAAGAUCAAUCUGUUUUUUGGUGUAUUCUUUAAAUUACAAGCACUAUAACAAAAACAACUUUUAGCUCAAAAGUCACUUAACUAUGAAUUCUUUUCUCAAAAAGUCACUCAACAUUGAAUUUUAACACAAAUAUCACUCAAUUAUGAGUGGUUUACUUACAAAGUCACUCAAUUAUGAUUGUUUUACUUACAAAGUCUGUUAACAUAUUUAAUUGUUUUUUUAAUUAAAAUUUGUUGGUAUAAUUUUCUUAUUUAAAAUUAAUAUUUUAAAAAAAAGUAAUAUCCAUUAAAUAAUUUAAUGAUCUGCCCCGCUAAAAAUAUAAUAUUGAUUUUUUUUUUAAUUGGAAUUCAAGAAUAAUACGGGAAUAAAUUAUUCCAUGCAUCAGAAUUCUAAGCAUUAUGAGGAAUAAAUUAAUUUCCUCUUCAUCCCCUCCCCCUUUCUCAGUUGCUGCCUCUUCUUCCUCUUUUAGUUUUUUUAAUUGGAAUUCAAAAAUAAUACUGGAAUAAUUUCAUGCAUCAGAAUUCCUAAAGCAGAGGAGAAAGAAUCCGACAAUAAUUUAGGAGAAUUAGCGGUAAAAUAAAAUGGGUCAAUAUUAUAUUUUUAGGAGGUCAUUCAUUAAAUGAUUUAAAUGAAUAUUUUUUUAUUUUUUAAAAUAUUGCUUUUAAUAAAAUUUUAUACCAGCAAAUUUAAUUAAAAAAUUAACUAAAUAGGUCAAAUGACUUUGUAAGUAAAAUACUUAUAGUUGAGUGACUUUGUAAGUAAAACACUCAUCAUUGAGUGACCUUUUAGUUAAAAUUCAAGUUGAGUGACUUUCUGAGAAAAGAAGUCAUAGUUGAGUGACUUUCUGAGAAAAAAAAUUCAUAGUUGAGUGACUUUCUGAGAGAGUAGUGCAUAACUGAGUGACAAUAUUAUAUUACGUGGUUUUGAGUAAGUUUUAUUAUUCUAACUUUAUAUUAUAUAUUUUUUCAUUGAAAAUUUUCGUUGUUUGUAUUCUUACUUCAUAAUGGUCUAUGACUUUGUGUACAUCCUACCUUCUUGAAACUUUACUUGUAGGAUUACAUUAAUCAGUAUGUUAUAAGUAUUCAAUUUAUGUUCGAGUAAUCAACACCAAAUAUUUGGGCAUAUCCCUUGACAACAAGCCUAGCCUUGUAUUUAUUGAUAGAACCAUCAGAAUUGAGCUUGGUUCUAAACACCCAUUUUACUCCAAUGACCUUCAUAUCUUUCAGUCGGUCGACUAACUCCCAAGUUUUGUUUUUCUUGAUCAUUAGCAUCUCCUGCUCCAUUGGCGUUUUCUCCAUUUUUUAUCUUGAAGUGCUUCAUCGUGCCCUGCAGGCUCACAAACUGCCACAUUACUUUGUUGGUAGAUGUCAGAGAGUAGUCUUGUACCUCUAAUUGGAAGAUCAUCCACCAACUCAUUUUUCCAGUGAUCCGAUGCCUGCUCCUCUGAAGCUUUGACUGAAAGUUGAUUGUCCUUCCAGUCCCAUUUCUCUUCAUCAACAAAGUGCACAUCUCUACUGACAAUCAUCUUCCCUGUUUGUGGAUUAUAUACUUUGUAGGCCUUGGAGGAUGAGCUACAACCCACAAAUAUUCCAGGAAGUGCCUUCUUGUCAAGUUUGUCUCUUUUAACCUGUGGCACAUGGAAGAAACAAACACAACCAAAUACUUUAGUGAAGCUUAGUGAUGGUUUGUAUCCAUUCCAAGCCUCAAAUGGAGUUUUAUUCAACAAUGCUUUAGUAGGAAGCUGAUUUUGGAGAAAUAUUGCCGUAUUAGCUGCCUCAGUCCAAAAACUUUUCGGCAACUCUUUUUCAUGCAACAUGCACCGCGACAUCUCCAUUAUAUAUCUGUUUCUCUUUUCACUAACUCCAUUUUGUUGCGGAGUAUAUGGAGCAGUAAGCUGAUGAGUAAUACCCGCUUUCUCACAAAAUUUGUUAAAUUGUUCAAAAUUAUACUCUUUUCCAUUGUCAGACCACAGAGAUUGGAUUCUGCAACCACUUUGAUUUUCCACCAUCUUCUUGAACUUCAAGAAAAUUCCAGCCACUUCUGAUUUAUAUUUCAUAAAAAAAAUCCAGCAGAAUCUUGUAUAGUCGUCAAUGAAUAUAACGUAGUAUAGACUACCAUUAAGGGAUGGUGUUCUUUGAGGUCCUGCAACAUCUGUGUGAAUCAGUUGCAACCUUUGAGAAGUCCGCCAUGUUGCUUUAGGAAAUGACUUCUUAUUCUGCUUACCAAAUUGACAAGCUUGACAACUUGGUAAGUGAUCAACUAGAGUUGGUAGUCCUCUUGUCAUAUCUUCCUUCUCCAGCAACAAUAGUGCUUGUAGAUGGCAAUGGCCAAGUCUCUUGUGCCAGGUUUCCGUUACACUUGCCUUCAUGGAAUAAGCUAGUCACUCUUUCUCUGUUGGAUCAAAGGAAAAAAUCCUUCCUCUCAUCUUCACCCUGAAAAUUUCAUUUCCAGUAGUGUCACUGAUUUGACAGUGAUGAUCUUCGAAGAAAACCUUGAAUUCUUUUUCCAUCAGAUGUCCUACGCUUAGCAAAUUCUGAUCAAUUUCAAGAACAUACAGAACCUCUGAAAUUUUCUUUGUGCCAGUGCUCGUCUUGAUAGCUAUGGUUCCAAUUCCUUUGACAGGAAGGUGAUCUCCAGUUCCUAUCCAAACCUUCGAAAUUUCAGUGGGCUUCAACUCCUUGAAUAAACUCUCGUCAUGAGUCAUGUGGUUAGUGCAACCUGUAGUAUCCGGAAAUUUGAAAAUAGCUAUGACGAGGCUGAGAAUUGGAAAUAGUCACUUUUUGGAAAGAAUUCAAAUCUGGAAAUUUGGUUAAGUGUGGGAAAAAAAUGAGUUUUUGGCCAACUUUGAACAGUCAUAACUCCUAGAUCAGGAUAAGUUAGGUGUAGUUCCAGUUAUUUUUGCGAAGCCCUUGGAAUGAUCUUUCCAACACUGCCGAGUUUGCUCGAUUCCGAGUUUGUAUGAGUGAGUUAUGCCCUUUGGAAGUUGGGUUGUUGGUAUAGGAAAGUUCACCCGAAAUUGUAAGGGUAUUUUGGUCUUUUCCCUAACCAAUUCUUUUGGUUAUAUUAGUGUGUUAGACUGAUUUUGGAUUAGUUUUUCCCAUUUUAAAGAGUAAGAGAGAGGGUUUGUGAGUGAAGAGGAGAAGAAGAGGAGAAAGAGGGGAUCAAGCAAGGAUUCAUCAAAGAUCGUCGUGGAUAUCGUCGGGGGUGAUCCCUACUAGGUAUGUGAGUUCAUAGUGUUGGGUUGGUUCUUUCCCCCACACGCCAAUCUCGUUUUAAUUUCGAGAAAAGAUUGAUUGUGUUUGUUGAAGUUGUUGGUUGUGAUUGUGUUGAAGUUCUUGUUGAUUUGGGCAUGUUUUCGGUUGUGUUUCUGGGUUAAAUAUAUUGUAUGUUGAGGGGUUUUAUGAUAUUAAGUGUUUGGGGCUGGAAACUUUGAAGUUGGGAAGGUUUAGAAUUGGAAAAACAAGGAAGAAAAGUCGAAUUUUCGAGGGAAAAGGGGUGGGCCAUCGCGCCUGCCAGCGCGCCCCAAAAGGGGUUCUGAACUUUCCCCCUUGGGGCGGCGCACCUAGCAGCGCGCCAGCAGGCCCCUCUGAAGUUUUAGGGCUGGCGCCCCGCGCCUCUCAGAGCAACAAGGACGCCAACCUUUCCCAUUCAUUCCCCACAUUUUCAUGCAUGUUCCUUAGUAUUGUACUUAUGUUUCAUAGUUGUUUCCAACACUCCAAGGUACGUCUAAACGUCAAGAACUCAUCGAUAAACAUGUGAUCAUAUACCUUGAAUCCAUAAUCCAAUUCAAGGCGAGUUAGGAUCAAGUCAAAGUGAAGUUAAGGGUCAAGUCUAGAAGUUAAGAAGCAAGUCAAAGCAAGUUUUCAAAGGUGUUCAAGAGUCUUUAUUGAACGUUCUAACUUCAUUUUAAGGCUCAAGUUUCAAGUCAAGUAAAGAGUAUAGAGCUUCAAGCUAAGUAAAGAGUCUCAGGUUUCAAGUUAAGUCAAGAGUAUAAAGUUGAGUUCAUUUCUCAAAAACUAUUAGGGACCUAAGUAUUCCCAAAGACGUUUAUAAAUGUUUUUACAUUUGAGUAAGAAGGGAACCAUGUUCUCCAAAAAGAGCCUUUGGGCUAAGUUUGAGUAAUUAUCUCAACUAAAGAAAGAUUUGUUUAAAACACUUAUGAGCUAAAAUAUAUUUUUGGGAGUAGUCUUGAGCACCGAGUUGGGGACAUGAGUUCAUAUUAACUCAACUCUCCAUAAGAACCAUGUGGCCAACAUGGGAUUUAACGGGUCAUACUUUUUAGAUAAUCACGUAAGUUAAGCUAGUGGAUCCACUUAGUAAAGUUAGCUUCCUAUAUCACGGCAAGGUAUAGGAUGGGCCUCGGCAGUGCGAGGUAAAGCGCUGUAUCAUCACUAUAGUUCUUAAAUGAUGGUUGUCGGAUAGAGAAACUCCCACAGCAGUAGAAAGUGCUUGGUUCCUCGAGGAGUUCUGCUUAGUAUGAAUGGGGGUAUGGGACUUCAUUCAUACAUUGCACAAGUAGACCUUGAGAGGAAGCAUGGUAUUUUCAUGAUAUUAAAAAUAUGAUUUUUACGUCAUGUUUUAAGAGUUUUACAAGCUUUAUAUAUUGCAUGUGUCUUAUUGCUUUAUAUAUUGAGUUCAGUUAUUCAUGAGUCCUCCUUGCUUUCCAUAGGACUCGGUUAUUUUGUGUUCUUAGUUUUGUUUUAUUAGGGUGUUGCGGGGUCUGUCCCAACAUCCAUCUCAGUAUUUUUAGAGGCUUCACAGACAGUCAGUCAGUAAGUUUUGAGUCUCUCAUCUAUGUAUAUAUAUAAUAUUCUAUUUUGAGACGCGAGUUGCUUUUUUGGCUAGCUUUUGUCAGUUAGGUUGUUUUAUGACCUUUCAUUGCAUUGAGUUAUGCUGUUGAGUUAAGUUUCUGUUGAGUUAAGAAAAGCCAGGCCAAGGGUUCGCUUGGGGGCCAACAAUGGUGUUCGAGUGCCGGCCACGUCCAGGGUGUAGGUUCGGGGCGUGACACAACCACUGUCAACUAACCAAGAAUCUGUUGAGCUCUUACUUGAAAAGCAUGUUGCAAUAAAAGGAUGAUCUUCUUCUUCUUGAUCAACAACUUGAGCAUUUCCUUCCUCCUGCGGGGCCUAAUUCUUGCAAAUCACUGCUUCGUGUCCAAGCUUAUUGCAUUUCUUACAUUUAGCAUCAAGUCUCUUCCAACACUUGAAUGGUGCAUGGCCUUUUCUUCCACAAUGGUGACAAGGGGGAUAACUUUUUUUCGCACUUCCUCCCUUAGUUUUGUUGUUGGCUGAUGUUUCUCCUUCACACACUGCUUGAUUCUUUUUCUUCUUCUGAAUUUUGUUAACCUGAUGCUUACUGACAAGUGCCCCUUCUGUUGUAACCUCCUGUCUCAUGAGUCUUCUUUGCUCUUGAGCUUUCAGGGAAUUGAGCAACUCUGUCAAACUAAUCUUUGACAAAUCCUUAGUAUUUUAUAAGGUUGUAAUUGUUGCUUCAUACCUUUCAGGAACUGUUACAAGGAUCUUCUCAACAAUUCUCGAGUCUGAAAAUGUAGAGCCGAGUAGCCUCACCUUUUUUGCAAUAUUUAGAAGUCUAUCCGAAUAUUCCUUCACUGUUUCAGAUUCCUUCAUUUUUUGCAAUUCAAACUCCCUAAUUAAGUUUAAAACUUGCAUACCUUUUAUUCUCUCAUCUCCAGAAUACUCUUCCUUAAGAUAAUCCCAUACUUCUUUAGCAGUUUUCAGAGACAUUAUUCGCGUGAAAACUAUUGACGAUACAACAGCAAAUAAACAUGCCUUGGCCUUCGAUUUCUUUGUCUUCUGUUCCUUGUGUGCUUUAAUCUGAGCAAUGGUAGGAUUAUUUGGUAGGGCUGGAAUAUCGUAAUCCUCUUCCACAGCUUCCCAGAGAUCCAAAGCAUCCAAGUACGUCUCCAUUCAUACUGCCCAAAUCUGAUAAUUAUCUCCAUCAAAGACCGGCGGAGCAAUUGGUGAGAAACUUGCUUCAGCAUCCAUGGCUACUCCAACUCGAUCACAAAUCCCUUAAGAUGAAAGCUCUGAUACCAACUGUUUUUAGUAAGACUAAUGACAGAUAACACAAUGAAGACAAUGUCUAGUUUGCUACAGAAAGGAAAGCAGGAGAAUACAAGGAAUUUAAAUGUGAAGAUAACUAAGAGAAAAGCUUAUGCAGAAAGUUGUAUUUCAGUAAAAUCAACCAAAAAUACAUAAACAUACAAUUAAGUAACUGAUAUAGAUCAUGGUCCUACUUUUAAGUCAUGGUACUAACCAUGGUAACUACCCCUAAAAUAACUGAAAAAAGAAAUACAGGAAACUUAGAAAUAGAUCCUGCAGUCCUAAAGCAACUAACUAAUAGUCGUAAAUGGUAAUCGAUUUGAAGGACCUGUCCCUGUGUCGUUGCUCAAAUGUCAUAAUUUAGAAGUUCUUGAUGUGGGGAACAAUGCUAUAAAUGACACGUUUCCAUCUUGGCUUGAAAUUCUUCAAGAGCUGCAGGUCCUUAUAUUAAAGUCGAACAAGUUCCAUGGACCUAUAAGUACGUGUCAAACUAAGUUUUGCUUUCCCAAGUUGCGAAUUUUUUAUUUUUCUCGUAAUGAUUUCAGUGGCUCACUUCCUGCAAAAGUUUUUGGAAACUUCAAGGCAAUGAUCAAAUUAGAUGACGAAGACACAAGAGAGAUCAGGUACAUGGAAUCUAUGUCGAAUUUGUCAUCUAUCGCAUCGUAUGAGGAAUCAGUGAGUUUGGUAAUCAAAGGGCACGUUAUUGAGCUACAAAGAAUCAGCACAAUUAUGACAACCAUAGAUCUCUCAAGCAACCAUUUUGAAGGUGUCAUUCCGGAAACACUAAAAGAUCUCAGCUCACUUUGGCUACUCAAUUUAUCCCAUAACAAUCUCAUAGGUCAUAUUCCAAUGGAAUUGGGGCAAUUGAAUACACUUGAAGCUUUAGAUCUCUCCUGGAAUUGGCUCACUGGAAAGAUUCCGCAGGAAUUAACAAGAAUGAACUUUCUGGCCUUCUUAAACAUCUCUCAAAAUCAUCUCGUCGGACCAAUUCCUCACAGUCUACAGUUCAACACAUUUGAAAAUGACUCGUAUGGCGGCAACCUUGAUUUAUGUGGUCCUCCUUUAUCAAAACAAUGUGGAACGAGAGAUUCAUCACAUGUUCCUCAAGCAUUGGAGUCCUAUUUUUUUAGUGGAUUUACAUGGGAAUCAGUAGUCAUAGGCUACAGUUUUGGACUAGUUGUUGGAACUGUCAUGUGGAGUCUCAUGUUUAAAUAUCGUAAGCCAAAAUGGUUAGUGGAAUUUUUUGAUGGACUCAUGCCUCAGAAAAGAAGAAGGCCAAAGAAGAGAGCUCAGAGACGACGGACUUAAUGGAAGAUUGAGAGGGGCCAACUUGUCUUUGUUUGAUUUUGUGGACUAAUUAGUGAACUUCUCUGGUUCUGUUUUUGUCUUUUUAAUAUUCUGUUUGUUGUUUGUAUAUGUUUGAUAGAAACAUAAUUAUAUAUGAGUUAUUUUAGUAUCAAUGGUUAUUCAAGUUAUGUUUCUGUUUCAAGUUGACAUAAGUGAUCCACACACCAAACUUAUUAAUUAGCUAUGAUACCCGGACUUUUCAAAAAUGCCAACAGAUACUUGUUGGAUUCUUCAAAGUAUUGCAUUUCUCAAGGAACCAACACAGGUGCGACAUCAUUAUAUUUUAGGAGAGUCGGAGCAACAUAGUUCAUUAGUACAACAAAAAGGAAAAAGCAAAGCAGUAAGCACAUAGAGUUUGGUUCAUGAUUGAAAUCACUUGAUAUUAGAAAGUUCAUAUAUUCAGCAUAACUGCAUGUCCAUUUUACAUUACAGUUCUUCUUAUACAAACUAGAAAAGAAAAUCUUGUGUUUACAGAAACUGAAAAUUGAUUUUCUAUAAUGUAAUACAUUUGCAUUGACCACACUACCCUUUUGUCACAGUGUUUUAUAGGUUACGAAGUUUAAGAAAAAAAAGUAAGAUUUUUUAAAUUUGUGAUUUUGAAUAUGACGUGCGAUUUUUGUGGCUAUAUAUAAAAGUAUGAAGUGUUGAUCUUUUUUGAAAUAGAUUAAUAGGAAAUAGUGUUACGUAAAAUGAAAGACAGAAUGUACUAUAUAGUGUGAUAUUGAACCAGAUCUUGAGAUAUAUAGAGUGCAAACUAGCUAGCUGUAAAGUAUCAACUUUGUCCCCAUUAAGUUUUUUCUACUACAAAAAAACUAGAAAAGUGAAAAGUGUUGUGGAAAAUUAUAGAAUGUACCUAACAUGUUUGAAAACAACUAAUCAGGAAUUUCUGAUACAAUUUCUCUGCAAUCUUUAACAUUAAAUAUUGACCAAGUCAAGUCUCUCUGGUGGUGGAAUUAGAAUGUUGAAUUAGCUUUACUUUUAUUUCUUUCUUGUUUAACAUCUUAUAUUUAUAAAUAAAAUAAGGCAACAUGUCCUAUCAUUAUUAUACUAAAUUUAUUUUUCUUCUUGUUUAAGAGCUUAUAUUUCUGUAAAGAAUGUGUAUGCUAUAUUUUUACAUUUUUCACUUCUGAAUAAGUAGUAGUAUAUGAAUCUUGCAUAAUAUAACCUGCUUUUCCAAGAGGCCUUUGUGUAUUAAAUUUUUUGUAUCUAUUAUCUAGAUUAAGCUUCAUCUAGAUAAUGCAAAAACCGACUCUGGUUAGUCUUCGCGGAAAUUUGCCUAAAGACUUAGAAGUCAUCGUCUGAUAGUUGCAGUAAAGUACCCCUUUUUUCUUUGUUGCUUAAUUAAAUACGAGACGGUCCUAUGAAGAAUAAUGGAGUUUCCCUCAUUAACUUAAUGUGAAAACUCAUGUGUAACUAACAAGUUUGAAAACAGCACAAGAGACAACUAAUCAAACACCAACUUGGAAAUUUCUCAUAAUAGCUUUUAGGAACGCUUUGUAUAAUCCAAUGUUUUUUUGAGCUAUUGACUUAGUACAACACAACAGGAAAAGGCUGCAUCCACCUGUGGGGCUCAUGUUGUUCAUGGGUUAUUUAUCAGUCUAGACCUUAGUGGUAGUUAUCUUUAUGGAACUGUAGAGAAUAGCAGAAGAAAAGUAUAAUCUGCUAGCCCAAGAUCAUUAACUAUAAAAGAUCGGAAUAUUCAACUAAAGAAGAGGAAGCUAGAAAGAACUUGUUUAUGGAAUAAGACUCUUUUAUUUGGGUUGUUCUUGAGUUGUAUACAAAUGACUGAGGCCACCCCUAUUUAUACUUAUGUGGGGAUGGUUCUAGACAUUACAAGAUCUAGACUAUUUUCUACAGUGAGUGUUACAUACGGGACCAAUUUCACAUCAUCUUGCGUAACAAACAAUGCAGAAAUAGUUAAUGACCUCGAAAUGAACAACAACAUCUUGAGAAAAUGAGGACAUAAGGGGUAUUAUUUUGUUAAGUCUUCUCCGUCCUCUAAAAAGUCUUGUGGAACACUACAAAAUAUGAAGUAACAAGUUGUUAGAAGUGAGUAGUACUCAUCCAUGGACCACAAGUUGUGUAGUUAGUGAUGCCAAGGUUGUAUUAUUUUUUCUCCCUUUAUGCCAAAGUUGGACAAAAUGAAUAUUGUAUAUAUAAUUGGUACUAUCAAACAAAAUUUGAAGACUUGAGUCUUUCUGGAAAAUGACUUAAAACACUUUGGACAACUUUUUUGCAAUCACAAAUUAGUUAGUGGUAGAUGUGGGGGCAAAUACCCCAUUUUAUUUGUCUGGAUAUGUUUCAUUCUCUUUUUCUAUUCACACUUUUACAGUAAAGAUGAAAGAGAAAAUAAUUUAUGUGUGAACAAAUUAAAUAUACCACAACAUGAUUUUCUUAAAAAUAAAAAAAAUAAAAAAAGUAAUUUUUGUACAAGUAGGGAUAUAUGUGAAGCCACUUUUGUAACAACGGGUAUAUUAACUCUAAAAUGACAAAGUUGAGGGAUAUAUCAUGCCCUUUUCCUUAAUGUGCCUUGCAAUGAUAACAAUAUAAGUUGAAUAGGAUACAGUUCACUACAAUUAUACCACAAAAACAACUUUUUUGAUGUAGUGUCGAUCACUACACCUUUAUCUUGAGUCGAGGGUCUACGAAAACAGCCUCUCUACUACUUUGGUUAUUCUCCAUCUCUUUCAUGUUUGAACUGUAUCAUAUAGAUGGAGUUUCCCUCAUUAACUAAAUGUGAAAAGUCUUGGAAAACAACACAAGAGACAACUAAUCGGAAAUUUCUCAUAAAAUUUCUAAUUAUGCAGGAAAUUAAGACACAUAUCAAACAAAAUUUUGAAUAAAAAGCAAAUAAAAAAAUUAAAAAAAAAUUCCACACGGUAUUAUUGUUCAUUUUUUUCCUCACUUGACUUAGUCAAGAAAUAGUUUCUCUCAUUGGAAAUUUCUUAGAAGUUCAGCAAAAAACAAUUCCACAUAAUGGGACCAAAUUCACAUCAUCUUGCCUAACACACACUGCAGCGAUAGUUAAUGACCUCAAAAUGAACUCAACAUCUAGAGAAAAUUAGGACAUAAAGAGUAUUAUUUCGUUAAGUCUUCUCCGUACUCUAAAAAGUAUUGUGGAACACUACAAUAUAUGAGUAACAAGUUGAUUUUUAAUACCAUUGUUUAAUCUCCUUAAUGUUUUGAGUAAGAUUUGAUUUUUUUUUUUACGCGAUGCGUGACGCCUAGGCAGACGUGCCCUGAGUAAGAUUUGGUUAUUCUAACUUUAUAUUAUAUUUUUUCAUUGAAUUUUUUUGUUGUUUGUACUCUUCCUUCAUAAAGGUCUGUGUAUAUCCUACCUUCUUGAAACUUUACUCGUAAGAUUACAUUAAUCAUUAUGUUAUAGGUAUUCAAUAUACAUAGGACACUUAGAACUAGUAUAUAUAUGUAUGGAUGAUACUGACUGAUUUGUAAGAAGAACACAUCCAUCCUGAACACAAACAAACAAAAAAUGGUCAUGAGUCUGUUUUUCUUUUAUUCAUUUCUAUGUUUUGUGUUUUUAUUAAGUGAAUGCUUUUCUUCAUCCUUUGAUCAUCAUCUUUGCUCUCCCACUGAAGUUUCUGCUUUGCUUCAGUUUAAGCAAUCCUUUAAAAUAUCUGAUUACUCUACUCUUCAGUGUGAUACUUCUUUCCCAAAAACAAAGUCUUGGAAUGAGAGUAGGGAUUGCUGCAGUUGGGAUGGAGUCACUUGUGACUUAUUAAACGGUCAUGUUAUCGGGUUAGACCUUAGCUGUAGUCAGCUUCGUGGAAGUAUUCAUCCCAAUAGCAGCCUCUUCCAACUUCAUCAUCUCCAAACACUAAACCUUGCUUACAAUAACUUUUCAACUUCUUCAAUCUCACAUAACAUUGGCCGAUUGAGGAAUUUGAGGCAUCUCAACCUUUCUAAUUCUUUCUUUAGUGGGAAAAUCCCAACAGAAAUCUCAUUCCUUUCCAAUUUGGUUUCACUUGAUCUUUCUUAUAGUUAUGGAUUACAACUUGAUGAGAGAACAUUUGAAACAAUGCUUCACAACUUUACAAAUCUGGAGGUACUAGCUCUCUUUCUUGGCAACAUCUCGUCACCGAUACCUGUAAGUAUUCAUCCCAAUAGCAGCCUCUUCCAGCUUCAUCAUCUCCACACACUAAACCUUGUUAACAAUUUCUUUUAUCCUUCUUCAAUCCCAAAUGGCAUUGGCCGAUUGAGGAAUUUGAGGCAUCUAAAACUCUAUGAAUUUCAAGGGAAAAUCCCAACAGAAAUCUCACACCUUUCCAAUUUGGUUUCACUUGAUCUUUCUUAUAGUUAUGAAAAAUUACAACUUGAUGAGAGAACAUUUGAAGCAAUGUUUCAGAACUUGACAAAUCUGGAGCUACUUUCUCUCUAUGGUGUCAACAUCUCAUCUCCGAUACCUGUUAAUAUUUCUUCAUCCUUAAGGUACCUGGAUCUUGGAUAUACUAAUCUGCGAGGUGUUCUCACAGAGAGCUUUUUCCUUGUGCCAAACUUGGAAAUACUCAAAUUGAGUGGGAAUGAUCUUGUCAAAGGAGUUUUUCCAAAGAUCCACUGGAGCAACACUCUGUUAAUGGAGUUGGAUAUUUCAUCCACAGGCAUCUCUGGUGAGGUGCCUGAUUCAAUUGGCACCUUCAGUUCCUUGAAUAUCUUGAACCUUGCAGGAUGCCAAUUCUCUGGUUCCAUUCCUGAUUCCAUUAGCAACCAAACACAAAUUAGGGAGUUGAUUUUAUAUCAUAAUCAUUUCACUGGCCAUAUUCCUUCCACAAUCUCUAAAUUGAAGCACCUCACACGUUUGGAUCUUUCAAUUAACUCCUUUUCAGGUGAAAUUCCUGAUGUUUUCUCAAACCUCCAAGAGCUACGUACUUUACAUCUUUCUUAUAACAGCUUCAUCGGUUCGUUUCCCGCUUCAAUUUUAAGUUUGACACAUCUUGAAUACUUAGGAUUGUCGAGUAAUUCCCUAUCUGGCCCACUGCCUAGCAACCAAAGCAUGCUUCAAAAGCUAACCGAACUGAAUUUGUCAUACAACUCACUGAAUGGUACCAUACCAUCUUGGGUGUUUAGCCUACCUUUGCUAUCUUCAGUGUCGCUCCAACAUAACCGAUUCAGAGGACUAGCCGAUGAAGUGAUCAAAACAAACCCAACAUUAAAACAACUGCAAUUAAGCAAUAAUCAACUCAGUGGUUCUUUUCCUCAAUCACUUGUGAAUCUCACAAACCUUGAAACCCUUGGAAUUUCAUCAAAUAACAUCACCAUUGAUGGGGGAAUGAAUAUCACCUUUCAUAGACUAUCAUCUUUAUUCUUAUCAUCUUGUGAACUGAAGGAUUUUCCACACUUCUUGAGAAAUGUAAAGACACUUGUGUACUUGGAUAUUUCUAACAAUAAGAUUUGUGGUCAAAUCCCUAACUGGUUUAGUGGCAUGAGGUGGGACUCGUUGCAGUUCCUAAACCUUUCUCAAAAUUCAUUAACAGGCCACCUACCACAAUUUCGUUACGAUAACCUACAGUAUCUUGAUCUGAAAUUUAACUACCUUCAGGGUCCACUAGCUUUAUCCAUUUGUAACAUGAGGAAACUUAUCUUAUUAGAUUUAUCACACAACUACUUCAGUGACUCAGUUCCACAUUGCUUGGGAAGCAUGCCUAAUCUAACGGUGCUGGACUUAAGAAGGAACAAUUUCACAGGGAGUCUUCCCCCAUUAUGUGCACACAGCACUUCGUUGAGUACCAUUGUCAUAAAUGGUAAUCCUUCCUGCAAAAGUUUUUGGAAACUUCAAGGCAAUGAUCAAAUUAGAUGACGAAGACACAAGAGAGAUCAAGUACAUGAAAUCUACGUUGAAUGCGUUAGUUGUCAGAUCGUAUGAGGAUUCGGUGAGUUUGGUGAUCAAAGGGCAGGAUAUUGAGCUAGAAAGAAUCAGCACAAUUAUGACAACCAUAGAUCUCUCCUGGAAUCGGCUCAUUGGAAAGAUUCCGCAGGAAUUGACAAGAAUGAACUUUCUGGCUUUCUUAAACCUCUCUCAAAACCAUCUUGUCGGACCAAUUCCUCACGGUCUACAAUUCAACACAUUUGAAAAUGACUCGUAUGGUGGCAACCUUGAUCUAUGUGGUCUUCCUUUGACAAAGAAAUGUGGAACGAGUGAUUCAUCGCAUGUUCCUCAACAAUUGGAGUCCGAAGAAGAAGAAGGCGAGUCAUAUUUUUUAGUGGAUUUACAUGGGAAUCAGUAGUCAUAGGCUACAGUUUUGGACUAGUUGUUGGAACUGUCAUGUGGAGUCUCAUGUUUAAAUAUCGUAAGCCAAAAUGGUUUGUGGAAUUUUUUGAUGGACUCAUGCCUCAGAAAAGAAGAAGGCCAAAGAAGAGAGCUCAGAGACGAAGGAUUUAAUGGAGGAUUGAUAGGGCUAAUUUGUCUUUGUUUGAUUUUGUGGACUAAUUAGUGAACUGUUCUGCUUUUCCCUCAUUAACUAAAUGCGAAAAGUCUUGAAAAAACAGCACAAGUAUAGAAGAAGCAUGAAAUAGAAAGAGUAGCAUUGCUUAAUCAUCUAGUACUGCUGUAGCUUAUGGUAAUCACUAGUAAUUGAUGAAUCACACUUCAAGCAUAUCAUGAAUUUGGCUUAAAGACUUAGAAGUCAUCGUCUGCUAGUUAAUACGAGAUGGUCCUAUAUAUGAAGAAUAAUGGAGUUUCCCUCAUUAACUUAAUGUGAAAAGUCUUGUGUAUCUAACAAGUUAGAAUGUUCAAAUACUUUUAACUAUAUAGUUUUAUUAUUAUUUUGUAUUCUUCUGCUUUGCGUAUCAUCGAGUUUCUCUUACAUACUCUGAUCCCUGAUUUUGUAAGAAUAGAACAUCCCGUUAUUUGGUGAAUACAAAAAAAGAGUCUCUUUUUCUUUUAUUCAUUUCUCUGUUUUGUGUUGCUAAUAAGUCUAUGCUUUUCUUCUUCCCUUUGAGCAUCAUUUUUGCUCUCCCAAGUAGACACUUUAAAACAAAUAUAAAACAUUACAUUUUAAAAUAAAAUGACAAAAGUGAAUAAAUUAAUCAGUGGAUUUACGUGGGAAUCAGUGGUCAUAGGCUACAUUUCACUACAAGUCUACGAUAAAAAAUAACUUUAGCAGGCAAUAAAUAUACACAUUAACAAAGAGUGACUAAAACCUUUACUGGUAUUAAUUAAUUGUCAUUAGAUUCAAUGUCUCUAUAGGCUUUAGGGACACUUAUAAAAAGUGCUAAUUGCCUCUAAAAAUACAUGUUUAGUAGCGAUUAAGCUAUAGCCGUUAAUUAAUUACCCCUAAAGAUCAUUUUUGAUGUAGUGUAGAUCACUACACCUUUAUCUUGAGUCGAGAGUCUAUGGAAACAACACAAGAGACAACUAAUCGUCUAGAGAAAAUGAGUACAUAGGGGGUAUUAUUUUAUUAAGUCUUCUCCAUCCUCUAAAAAGUCUUGUGGAACACUACAAAAUAUGAAGUAACAAGUUGCUAGAAGUAAGUAGUACUCAUCCUGUAAUUCAAUUGUUCAUCAGUCCCGAUUCAUCAUAAUCUUUUUUUUUCCUCUAGUCUUAGUGGAAAUUGGCUCAAAGGCUUACAAGUCAUCGUCCGCUAGUUACAAUACUGUAUCACUUUUUUCCUUAGGUGGAAUAGAAUAUUGAUGGAUUUUCCCUCAUUAACUUAAAAAUGUGAAAACUAUAGUGUACCUAACAAGUUUGAAAAUAGCAGAAUUGACAACUAAUUACUAACUUGGAAUAUUGACAUUUUAUGAUUGUAUAAAUUCCAUAGAAAAAUUGCAUACAAAUUUAUUGCAUUCUCAUAAUUGGUUUCUCUAUUAACUGUUCUCAUAAUUGGUUCAAUGACACGUCUUGACAUUUUAUGAUUAUAUAAAUUCCGUAAAAAAAUGCACUAAAAUUUACUGCAUUCAUACAACUUGGUUUCGCUUGAUUAAAGUGUCCCUUCUUGUCUUAUGGAAGAUGAAAUGGAGUAACAUCAUGUCUUUAUUGUUCAUUUAUUAUUAUUUUUUUCUCAAUUGACUUGGUCAUACAAUAGUUUCUCUCUUUGAAAUGUAUUGUGGGAAACAGAAGAAGAGAUGUUGAUGGAAAGUUAGACAAGAAUGACUUAAAAUAGGAGUUCAAAUUUCUAUCUAUCCNNNNNNNNNNNNNNNNNNNNNNNNNNNNNNNNNNNNNNNNNNNNNNNNNNNNNNNNNNNNNNNNNNNNNNNNNNNNNNNNNNNNNNNNNNNNNNNNNNNNNNNNNNNNNNNNNNNNNNNNNNNNNNNNNNNNNNNNNNNNNNNNNNNNNNNNNNNNNNNNNNNNNNNNNNNNNNNNNNNNNNNNNNNNNNNNNNNNNNNNNNNNNNNNNNNNNNNNNNNNNNNNNNNNNNNNNNNNNNNNNNNNNNNNNNNNNNNNNNNNNNNNNNNNNNNNNNNNNNNNNNNNNNNNNNNNNNNNNNNNNNNNNNNNNNNNNNNNNNNNNNNNNNNNNNNNNNNNNNNNNNUAUUAUUAAGUAUGUUAAAAUAUAAUUAUUAAAAGAUAAAUUAAAAUUAUAAAACCACAAAUACCUAAUAAGAUGUACUAUCAAUUAUUGGUUAUAACUUUCUUGCACUUUAAUUUAAAUUAUAGAUUUAUUUAUAUUUUCAAUUAUUUUUUUAUAAGAACUUUUUAUGUAUAAUAUAAAUUUUGUCUACGUUUAAUAUGCUUAGCUAUGGAUAUUAUCUCAUAGAAAGUGUAAGCAUAAAAUUUUCAUGAUAUGUUGGGUGGUGGUGAUUUAUUUUAAAUAUAUAGUUUCACUUUUUAAGAGUUAAAUCAAAUGAACUUUAGCCAACAUUUAAGAUAUAUUUUUCUACCUUAUUGAUAUAACAUGAAAAGAUUAGCAUUUAUAAUGCUACGACUAAACACAAGUAGAAUAAAAUUUCAAAGAGCAACAAUAAAUGGGUGGGCACCAACAAAUUCAACUGGGCACUCUGAGUGGGGGAAUUAUAAUUGUGUUCAAGUGGUAUGUGAUAAAUCGUACAUAUGCUUCGUCAAUCAGCGGGAACCAACAAUCUAGUGAGAAAUUUCUCAAACCAGUCAUUCUUUUACAUGGAGAACCCACACUGGUGUUUGACUCCAAAGACAUAGAAGCGUUUAUCACGGAGGAGAAUUUAAAAUACGCUCUCAUUGCCAAAUUCUCACAUGGAAGGCCUGAACUUCCAGAUUUACCGAAAAUAUUGUCUCAACAAUUAGGAUUUAAGGGUGAAUGUAACAUUGGGUUAUUAGAAAGUCGGCACGUGUUGCUGUGGUUCACUUUAAAGGAAGAUUAUAUUGCAAUCUUUUCAAAAACUAGUAGGUCGAUUAAGUUCGCUGGUACUGUUAUACCAUUCAGAAUCCAAAAGUGGACUCCCUCUUUUAGUCCUAGGGAAGAAACCUCCAUUGCAAUGGCGUGGAUUUCUUUCCCAAGUUUACCCUGUCAAUAUUUUGCUUGUAAUGCUCUGUUUUCUAUGGCUUCGGCAGUUGGACAACCUCUUGAUGUGGAUUGAGCGACCUAUGAUAAAACACGACCUAGUACUGCAAGGGUAAAAGUCGUGGUGGAUCUUUUAAGGAUCCUUCCAAAAAGAAUUAGAGUUCAAUUCAAAGAUUUAGUCACUGGCGAAAUUACAAACGUAUGGCAAAAAAUCAGGUAUGAUUAUGUACCAUAUUAUUGUAAGAGAUGUAAUCAUCAGGGGCAUAGAGAAGCUGAUUGUCGAACUCUCCGAUGGUCAAGUUGAUGCCAUGGUCAGUGAAAAUCAUAUUGAAGGAGAAAAAUUUCAAGGAGAUCUUCAUGAUCAUCUCAAUUCCUAAAAAACUGAUUUAAACAGGCUGGAAAUUGGUGAAAAGGAUGAUGAAGAAACUGUUAAAGAUUUAGAUGUAGGGGCUGAAAAGAGUGGUGUUCAAAAUCAAAAUUUGGUGCGCCAAAAUUCUGGCCAGCGCCAAGGCAAAGCAAUGUUGGACGACUAUUCUUCAGGGAAUCAAGUAUUAUCCUUAAUUCCUCAAACUGGUGAGUCUUCGCGGCAAAGUUGUAAUUCAGUUGAUCAUGUCUUUAAUUAUUCUUUCAUUUUUUUUCCUCACUUGACUUAGUCAAGCAAUAGUUUCUCUCAUUGGAAAUUUCUUACAAGUUUUGCAGAAUUUUUUUCUACAUAAUGGGACCAAUUUCACAUCAUCUUGCGUUAGUAACACACAACAGAGAGAUAGUUAAUGACUUCGAAAUGAAUACAACAUCAGAGAAAAUUAGGACAUAGGGAGUAUUAUUUUGUUAAGUCUUCUCCGUCCUCUUACAAGUCUUGUGGAACAUUACAAAAUAUGAGUAACAAGUUGUUAGAAGUGACUAGUACUCAUCUUGUAAUUCAAUUGUUCAUCAGUCCCGAUUCAUCAUAAUCUUUUUUGUUCCUCUAGUCUUAGUGGAAAUUGGCUCAAAGGCUUACACGUCAUCGUCCGCUAGUUACAAUACUGUAUCACUUUUUUCCUUAGGUGGAAUCGAAUAUUGAUGGAUUUUCCCUCAUUAACUUAAAAAAUGGGAAAACUAUUGUGUACCUAACAAAUUUGAAAAUAGCAGAAGAGACAACUAAUUAUUAACUUGGAAUAUUGACCUUUUAUGAUUGUAUAAAUUGCAUAGAAAAAUUGCAUACAAAUUUUAUUGCAUUCUCAUAAUUGGUUUCUCUAUUAACUGUUCUCAUAAUUGGUUCAAUGGCGCGUCUUGACUUUUAUGAUUUUAUAGAUUUCGUGGAAAAAUUACACUAAAAUUUAUUGCAUUCAUACAAGUUGGUUUUGUUUGAUUAAAGUUUCCCUUCUUGUCAUAGGGAAGAUAAAAUAGAGUAACAUCAUGUCUUUAUUGCUCAUUUAUUUUUAUUUUUUUGUCAAUUGACUUGGUCAUACAAUAGUUUCUCUCUUUGAAAAGUAUUGUGGAAAACAGAAGAAGAGAUGUUGAUGGAAAGUUAGACAAGAAUGACUUAAAAUAGGAGUUCAAAUUCCUACCUAUCCAUCUAUACUAAUGUUAAAUUGCUAUAAUAUUUUCAACUUAAAAACUACUUAAUUUAGUAUAUUUUCUAUAAUUUAUAAUAUGUUAUAUUAUAUUUAUUUAUUUAAUUUAAAAUAUAGCGUAUUACAUGAUUUAGCAUUCACGUGCAAUGCACGUGCAUCAAAGCUAGUACUAUCUUAAAAACUAUGUUACUAGAUUAUUUUAAAAUGUCAACAGGUACAUGUUAGAUUCUUCAAAAGUUAUGUAUUUUUUAAGGAACCAACAUUGGUGCAACAUCAUCACAUUUUUGGAGAGCCUGAGCAACAUAUACAAGAAAAUUGGAAAAAGAAGUGCAAUAAGCAUAUAGAGUUUGGUUCAUGAUUGAAAUUACUUGAUAUUAGAAAGUUAACAUUUGUGAAAAUUGAUGUUGAAGAGUAGUCAAAACUACAGAAAUGGCUAAUAAUGGGCAAAAUGCUCUCUGGAAUUGGCUCACUGGAAAGAUUCCAAGGGAACUGACAAGACUACAAUUCGAGGCAGACUAAAAACUCUCUCUCAAUGUUCUUAUCAGACCGAUUGCUGUUCCUCAUCUAUUGGAGUCCGAAGAAGAGUCGUAUUUUGCUAGUGGAUUUACGUGGGAAUCAGUGGUCAUAGUUGUGGAUUAGUUGUUGCAACUGUCAUGUGGAGCCUCAUGUCUAAAGCUAAAAUGAAUUGUGGAAUUUUUUGAAGCCAUCUAUAAAAGCAAAAGACAGAAACCUGUGAUCCUUCAAUACAAUUAGUCUCUCAUCAGUUUUCUUUGCUUGUGCAUCAUUUUUUUAUUUGAUCACUACACCUUUGUCUUGAGUCGAGGGUUUACGGAAACAGCCUCUGGUUAUUUUCCAUCACUGUGUAUCAUAUAGAUGGAAUUUCCCUCAUUAACUAAAUGUGAAAAGUCUUGAAAAAACAGCACAAGAAUAGAAGAAGCAUGAAAUAGAAAGAGUAGUAUUGCUUAAUCAGCUAGUACUGUAGCUUAUCGUAAUCACUAGUAAUUGAUGAAUCACACUGCAAGCAUAUCAUGAAUUUGGCUUAAAGACUUAGAAGUCAUCGUCUGCAUGUUAAUACGAGACGGUCCUACGAAGAAUAAUGUAAAAAGUCUUGUGUACCUAACAAGUUAGAAUGUUCAAAUACUUUUAACUAAAAUCUAUCUACAGUUUUAUUAGUAUUUUGUAUUCUUCUGCUUUGUGUAUCAUCGAGUUCUCUUACAUACUCUGAUCCCUGAUUUUGUAAGAACAGAACAUCCUAUUAUUUGGUGAAUACAAAAAAAGAGUCUCUUUUUCUUUUAUUCAUUUCUCUCUUUUGUGUUGCUAAUAAGUCUAUGCUUUUCUUCUUUCCUUUGAGCAUCAUUUUUGCUCUCCCAAGUAGGCACUUUAAAACAAAUAUAAAACAUUACAUUUUAAAAUAAAAUGACAAAAGUGAAUAAAUUAAUCAGUGGUCAUAGGCGACAUUUCACUACAAGUGUACGACAAAAACAACUUUUAGCAGCAAUAAACGUACUGUCACGCCCCGAGCCUACACCCUGGGUGUGGCCGGCACUCGGAGACCAUAGCUGGCCCCAAGCGAACACUUGGCCUGGCUUUCUUAACUCAGCGGAAACCUAACUCAACAGAAUAACUCAACUGAUAAAAUCUGGCCAAAAAGGCAACUCGAGUCUCAAAAUAGAAUAUUUAUAUAUAUAUAUAAAUGAGAGACUCAAUACUAACUGACUGACUGUCUAUGAAGCCUCUAUAAUACUGAGAUGGAUGUUGGGACAGACCCCGCAACAUCCUAAUAAAACAAAACUAAGAGAAACAAAAUAACCGAGUCCUCCGGAAAACAAGGAGGCUCACCACAGACUCUGGAGUGCUCAACUGGAUCAACGGCGUGCUGGAUGCUGAUCCUAGGUACCUGUGUCUACAUCAUAAAAAAAUGCAGGUCAACUGGCAUCAGUACAUGGAAUGUACGAGUAUGUGAGCUGGACCGCUAAACAACAACUUAAGCUUGAAAAGGGGUAUAAAAGAGAACUUACCUUGGCUUUAUUCAACUCAUGAAUAACUGAACUCAAUAUAAAGCAAUAAGACACAUGAAAUAUAUAUAGCUUGCAAAACUAUUUAAAACAUGACGUCAAAAUCAUAUUUAUAAUAUCAUAAAAAUACCAUGCUUCCUCUCAAAGUCUACUUGUGCAAUGCAUGAAUGAAGUCCCAUACCCCCAUCCAUACUAAGCAGAACCCCUCGAGGAACCAUGCAAUUUCUACUGUGGGAGUUUCUCUAACCGACAACCACCACUAUGACCUAAGUGGUGACACAACGUCUUGUCCACGCUGCCAGAACUGUUCUAUACUUUGUCGUUAUAUAGAACUACUUAACUUUAACUUAGUGGAUCCACUAGCUUAACUUACGUGAUCAUCUAAAAAGUAUGACCCGUUAAAUCCCAUGUUGGCCACAUGGUUCUUAUGGAGAGUUGAGUUAAUAUGAACUCGUGUCCCCAAUUCGGUGCUCAAGACUACUCCCAAAAAUAUACUUUAGCCCAUAUGUUUUAAAAACAAACUUCUUUCUCUAAUUUGAAUUACUUGCGCAAACUACCCUCUUAAAAGAGGUAAUUGCUCUUGAAAACUCUUUCUAAAAAGAACAUAUCAAAACCAUAUUUUUAUAUGAUCAUUGAUGACUCGGGAAGUCAUACUGCAUAAACAUUGAUGGUAUAUCUAGAGACCAUACUGUUUAAACAUUGAUGACAUACUCGAUUUUUCAUACUAAUCAUGUUUUAGAAACUCUUUCGCAAAACUCAUCUUUUUCUUAAAGGAGAUAGUACUCAAACUGCUCAAAACUCUUUUGGAAAUCUCAAUUUCCUCUCAUCUUAAAUGUGAAAACAUUUAUAAACUUAUUUGGGAAUACUUAGUUCCCUAAUAACUUUUGAGAAAUGAACUUGACUCUAUACUCUUUAAUUAACUUGAAACUCUAUACUCUUUACUUAACUUAAAACUGUAUACUCUUUACUUAAGUUGAAACUUGAGUUUUAAAAUGAAGUUAAAACGUUUAAUAACGACUCUUGAAAAACUUUGAAAACUUGCUUUGACUCGCUUCUUAACUUCUAGACUUGACCCUUAACUUCACUUUGACUUGAUCCUAACUCGCCUUGAAUUGGAUUAUGGAUUCAAGGUAUAUGAUAACAUGUUUAUGGAUGAAUUCUUGACGUUUAGACAUACCUUGGAGUAUUAGAAACAACUAUAAAACAUAGGUACAAUACUAAGGAACAUGCAUGAAAAAGUGGGGAAUGAAUGGGAAAGGUUGGCGUCCUUGGCACUCUGAGAGGCGCGGGGCGCUAGACCACAAAGCUCAGAAGGGCAGUUGGGACGCACUUCUAGGCGCGCCCCCCAAGGAGAGAAGUUCAAAACACUUCUUGGGGCGCUCUGCAAGGCGCGACGCGCCACCCCUUUUCCCCAAAAACUCGACUUUUUUCCUUCAUUUCUCCAACUCUAAACCUUCUCAACCUCAAAGUUUCCAGCCCCAAACACUUAAUAUCAUAAGACCCCUCAACAUACAAUAGAUUUAACCCGGAAACACAACCGGAAGCAUGUCCCAAAUCAACAAGGAACUUCAACAACACAAUCAACAACAUCAACAAUACAACCAACAACUUCAACAACACAACCAAUCUUUUCUCGGAAAUAAAACGAUUUUGGUGUGUGGGGGAAAGAACCAACCCAACACUAUGAACUCACAUACCUAGUAGGGAUCACCCCCGACGAUAUCCACGACGAUCUUUGACGAAACCUUGCUUGAUCUUGUCUUUCUUCUCCUCUUCACUCACAAACCCUCACUCUCACUCUUUUAAAAAGGGAAAACUGAUCUAAAAAUCAGUCUAACACAUUAAUAUAACCAAAAGAAUUGGUUAGGGAAAAGACCAAAAUACCCUUACAAAUUUCCGGGCGGACCUUCCCUGCCAACUGCCCAACUUCCAAAAGGCAUAACUCACUCAUACGAACUCGGAAUCAAGUAAAAUUGGCGGCGAUGAAAAGAUCAUUCCAUGAGCUUCGCAAACAUAACUGGAACUACACCUAACUCAUCAUGAGCUAGGAGUUAUGACUGUUCAAAGUUGGUCAAAACUCACCUUUUUUCUACACUUGUCCAAAUUUCCAGAUUUUUAAAUUCUUUCCAAAAAUGACUAUCUCCAAUUCUAAGCCUCUUCAUAGUUAUUUCAAAUUGCCGGAUGUUACAAAUACACAUUAACAAAGACUGCUAAAACCUUUACUUGUAUUAAUUAAUUAUCAUUGGAUUCAAUGUCUCUAUAGGCUUUAGGGACACUUACAAAAAGUGCUAAUUGCCGCUAAAAAUACAUGUUUAGUAGCGAUUAAGCUAUAGCCGUUAAUUAAUUACCCCUAAAGAUCAUUUUUGAUGUAGUGUAGAUCACUACACCUUUAUCUUGAGUCGAGGGUCCACUACUAGAAAACUGUAAAUUACCUGGGAAUUUCAUUUGGAGAUUAUUUUCGCAGAAAUUUCCUAUGAAUUUUCAUGCGGAAAUAUGAAAUUCCUAAAUUCUAGACUUCUCUACAUGCGAAAAAUAAUUUCCCUGAAAAAUUGGUAGGUAACUUUGGCGCCAUUUUUACAAAAUUAUUACCUAUGGAAUUAUUUGGGAAAAAUAAUUUGCAAGUAGCAUUUUCAUAGGUAAAUUCACAAGUAAUAAAAAAAUUUAUUUUUUUAGUAUGUUUGCAAGAAAAUUCCUAGAAAAACAUAUUUGCAGAUUUAGCUAGAAAUAAUUACUUGAAAAUUUAUUUGCAAAUAAUUUUAUACGUGUUAUUACUUGGGGAUUUUAUUGUUGUGACUUUGGUUGAAGAUUUUUAGAGGAAUGCAUACUUGAAUUUUUUUAAAUACAAUUUAAUUGGAAGUAUUUUCUUGGAAUCUAAGGAUUUUUUUAUUUGGAGUCUUCAAGAAAUAUUUUCUUUAAAAUAUAUUUAACAAAAUCUAAAACUAUAAUAAUAUAAAAAAUAACAAUGACAUUAGAAUGAAUUUUAUUGUUAAAUAUAUACUCUACUUUUAGAUUACAUAAAUUAUUAUACAAUAAUAUCAAUCUAACACUAUAUUGGAACAUUACCACAAAUGUCAUGAACAAUAUUUUUAACUUAUAUAUAGUUACAAUAUUUAGUCCUAAAAACCAAUGAUGCGAUAUUUUUUUUUUGAAAGAUACAAAAGCAUUAAAAAUUAUAUGGCUAGUUAUUUAUCCUUAGAAAAAUAACUAUCAUAAAUAUAUUUAUUUUUGAUUAGAUAUUACUUUAUAUUAAAUUUCGUAUUAUUGAAUAAGUCAAUCACUGUUUAAGUAGAGUAAAAUUAAAUUAUAUACAUUAUUAAUGUGAAUUUUAAUCAACCCCUAGUUUAUAGAAUUAUAUUAAAUGAAAAAUAAAUAAAAUUUUAACUAUAUAUCAAAUUUAUAUUUUUUUUUUCUUACAAGCAUUAAAUAUGAUAUAAUUUCUCUAUAGUAAGUUAUUAAAUGUUAUUUAUUUGCAAAUAUUUAUUAUUAAGUAUGUUAAAAUAUAAUUAUUAAAAGAUAAAUUAAAAUUAUAAAACCACAAAUACCUAAUAAGAUGUACUAUCAAUUAUUGGUUAUAACUUUCUUGCACUUUAAUUUAAAUUAUAGAUUUAUUUAUAUUUUCAAUUAUUUUUUUAUAAGAACUUUUUAUGUAUAAUAUAAAUUUUGUCUACGUUUAAUAUGCUUAGCUAUGGAUAUUAUCUCAUAGAAAGUGUAAGCAUAAAAUUUUCAUGAUAUGUUGGGUGGUGGUGAUUUAAUUUAAAUAUAUAGUUUCACUUUUUAAGAGUUAAAUCAAAUGAACUUUAGCCAACAUUUAAGAUAUAUUUUUUACCUUAUUGAUAUGACAUGAAAAGAUUAGCAUUUAUAAUGCUACGACUAAUUAAACACAAGUAAAAUAAAAUUUCAUGUUGGUAAGUUUUAAUGAAAAAAAUCAAUUAAAUAGAUUGAAGACUUUGUAAGUGAAACACUCAUAGUUGAGUGACUUUGUAAGUGAAACACUCAUAGUUAAGUGACUUUUGAGUUAAAAAUCAAAGUUGAGUGACUUUCUGAGAAAAAAACUCAUAGUUGAGUGACUUUGAAGUUAAAAACCAAAGUUGAGUGUCUUUCUAAGAAAAUAGUACAUAGUUGAAUGACCUUAUGAGAUAUUAAAAAUUUAGACACAUAUCAAACAAAAUUUUGAAUUAAAAGCAAAUAAAAGAAUAAAAAUAAAAAUUCCACACGGUAUUAUUGUUCAUUUUUUCCUCACUUGACUUAGUCAAGAAAUAGUUUCUCUUAGAAGUUCUGCAUAAUUUUUUUCUACAUAAUGGGACCAAUUUCACAUCAUCUUAUGUAACACACUGCAGAGAUUGCUAAUAACCUCCAAAUGAACACAACAUCUAGAGAAAAUGAGGGCAUAUGGAGUAUUAUUUUGUUAAGUCUCCUCCGUCCUCUAACAAGUCUUGUAGAACACUACAAAAUAUGAGUAACAAGUUGUUAGAAGUGAGUAGUACUCUUCUUGUGAUUCAAUUGUUCAACAAUCUCGAUUUAUCAUAAUCUUUUUCCCCUUCUAGUCUGUUGUGAUCAUGGAUAGCCGAGAAGUUAGACAACUUGUUGGGCCCGAGGCUAAACCACGAAGUGGAUAAGACAGCCCAACAAUAGGUUUGCUUGGAAUCCAGGUUGAGUACAAAUAAAAGGGUAAUCACUGUGGUUUUGGGAGUUUAUGCAGAUUGUGAAAGAAAUUGUUUGUUCCUCCCAUCUCUUUCUAGAGUCUAAGCUUUUCAUCCACAUUUUUAUCUCUAUCUUUAGUUACUUGUUAUUUAAGUAUUUUCCUUUGUAAUUCUAUAGUUGAAGUGUUGCCGUCGUGAUUUGUCUAUCAGUGAUUACAUAUUACUUGAGUAUUUGAGUUGCGAAUUUAGAUUCGUUACAUAGUCUUUGAGGAAAUUGGCUUAAAGGUUUACAAGUCAUCGUCCGCUAGUUACAUUACUACAUCCUUUAUUUCCUUAGGUGGAAUGGAAUAUUGAUGGAUUUUCCCUUGUUAACUAAAUGUGAAAACUAUUGUGUACCUAACAAGUUUGAAAAUAGCAGAAGAGACAACUAAUCACUAACUCAGAAUAUUGACCUUUUAUGAUGGUAUAGAUUCCAUGGAGCUUGGUUUCCUCUAUUCCAAACGUACCAUAACUGUUGUCAUAAUUGGUGUCCCUUCUUGUCACAUGGAAGAUGAAAUGGAGUAACAUCAUGUCUUUAUUGCUCAUUUAUUUUUAUUUUUCUCAAUUGACUUGGUUAUACAAUAGUUUCUCUCUUUGAAAAGUAUUGUGGAAAACAGAAGAAGAGAUGUUGAUGGAAAGCUAGACAAGAAUGACUUAAAAUAGGAGUUCAAAUUUCUACCUAUCCAUCUAUACUAAUGUUAAAUUGCUAUAAUAUUUUCAACUUAAAACACUUAAUUUAGUAUAUUUUUUAUAAUUUAUAAUAUGUUAUAUUAUAUUUAUUUAUUUAAUUUAAAAUAUAGUGUACUACAUGAUUUAGCAUUCAUGUGCAAUGCACGUGCAACAAACCUAGUACUAUCUUAAAAACUAUGUUACUUAGAUUAUUUAAAAAUGUCAACAGGUACGUGUUAGAUUCUUCAAAAGUUAUGUAUUUUUUAAGAAAUCAACAUUGGUGCAACAUCAUCAUCUUUUUGGAGAGCCUGAGCAACAUAGUUCAUUUAUACAAGAAAAUUGGAAAAAGAAGUGCAAUAAGCAUAUAGAAGAAGCAUGAAAUAGAAAGAGUAGCAUUGCUUAAUCAGCUAGUACUGUAGCUUAUCGUAAUCACUAGUAAUUGAUGAAUCACACUUGAAGCAUAUCAUGAAUUUGGGUUAAAGACUUAGAAGUCAUUGUCUGCUAGUUAAUACGAGACGGUCCUAUAUAUGAAGAAUAAUGGAGUUUCCCUCAUUUUUGCUCUCCCAAGUAGGCACUUUAACAAUUCAAAAUUUAAACAAAUAAAAACUCGAUUUUACCUUUGACACACGUGAAUUGCACGCAUUUUACCAAGUAGGAUUUGAGUGUUUAUUUAUCAAGUAGGAUUCGAUCUUGGCUCACUUUGGCAACUCAAUUUAUCUCACAACGAUCCCAGAGAAGAUAUCCCAACGGAACUGGGACAAAUGAAUACGCUUUUAAGUUCUAGAUUUCUCAUGGAAUUGGCUCACUUGAAAGACUCCAAGGGAACUGACAAGACUAAAAAAUUUGCCAGAUUUUGUUGGUAUAAUAUACCACAAAUAUAAAACAUUAUAUUUUAAAAUAAAAUGACAAAAGUGAAUAAAUUAAUCAGUGAAUUUACGUGGGAAUCAGUGGCCAUAGGCUACAUUUCACUACAAGUCUACGACAAAAACAACUUUUAGCAGCAAUAAAUAUACACAUUAACAAAGAGUGCUAAAAUUUUACUGGUAUUAAUUAAUUGUCAUUGGAUUCAAUGUCUCUAUAGGCUUUAGGGACACUUACAAAAAGUGUUAAUUGCCGCUAAAAAUACAUAUUUAGUAGCGAUUAAGCUAUAGCCAUUAAUUAAUUACCCCUAAAGAUCAUUUUUGAUGUAGUGUAGAUCACUACACCUUUAUCUUGAGUCGAGGGUCCACUACUAGAAAACUGUAAAUUACCUGGAAAUUUCAUUUGGGAAUUAUUUUCGCAGAAAUUUCCUAUGAAUUUUCAUGCGGAAAUAUGAAAUUCCUAAAUUCUAGACUUCUCUACAUGCGAAAAAUAAUUUCCCAGAAAAAUUGGAAGAUAACUUUAGCGCCAUUUUUACAAAAUUAUUACCUGGGGAAUUAUUUGGGAAAAAUAAUUUGCAAGUAGCAUUUUCAUAGGUAAAUUCGCAANNNNNNNNNNNNNNNNNNNNNNNNNNNNNNNNNNNNNNNNNNNNNNNNNNNNNNNNNNNNNNNNNNNNNNNNNNNNNNNNNNNNNNNNNNNNNNNNNNNNNNNNNNNNNNNNNNNNNNNNNNNNNNNNNNNNNNNNNNNNNNNNNNNNNNNNNNNNNNNNNNNNNNNNNNNNNNNNNNNNNNNNNNNNNNNNNNNNNNNNNNNNNNNNNNNNNNNNNNNNNNNNNNNNNNNNNNNNNNNNNNNNNNNNNNNNNNNNNNNNNNNNNNNNNNNNNNNNNNNNNNNNNNNNNNNNNNNNNNNNNNNNNNNNNNNNNNNNNNNNNNNNNNNNNNNNNNNNNNNNNNNNNNNNNNNNNNNNNNNNNNNNNNNNNNNNNNNNNNNNNNNNNNNNNNNNNNNNNNNNNNNNNNNNNNNNNNNNNNNNNNNNNNNNNNNNNNNNNNNNNNNNNNNNNNNNNNNNNNNNNNNNNNNNNNNNNNNNNNNNNNNNNNNNNNNNNNNNNNNNNNNNNNNNNNNNNNNNNNNNNNNNNNNNNNNNNNNNNNNNNNNNNNNNNNNNNNNNNNNNNNNNNNNNNNNNNNNNNNNNNNNNNNNNNNNNNNNNNNNNNNNNNNNNNNNNNNNNNNNNNNNNNNNNNNNNNNNNNNNNNNNNNNNNNNNNNNNNNNNNNNNNNNNNNNNNNNNNNNNNNNNNNNNNNNNNNNNNNNNNNNNNNNNNNNNNNNNNNNNNNNNNNNNNNNNNNNNNNNNNNNNNNNNNNNNNNNNNNNNNNNNNNNNNNNNNNNNNNNNNNNNNNNNNNNNNNNNNNNNNNNNNNNNNNNNNNNNNNNNNNNNNNNNNNNNNNNNNNUUUUCCUCACUUGACUUAGUCAAGAAAUAGUUUCUCUCAUUGGAAAUUUCUUAGAAGUUCUGCAAAAAAAAUUUCCACAUAAUGGGGCCAACUUCACAUCAUCCUGCCUAACACACACUGAAGCGAUAGAUAAUGACCUCGAAAUAAACUCAACAUCUAGAGAAAAUUAGGACAUAGAGUCUUAUUUUGUUAAGUUUUCUCCGUCCUCUAGAAAGUCUUGUGAAACACUACAAAAUAUGAGUAACAAGUUGUUAGAAGUGAGUAGUACUCAUCCAUGGACCACAAGUUGCGUAGUUAGUGAUGCGAAAGUGGUACUAUCUACCAACACUGACUUAAAGACUUGAGUUAACACUUGGGACAACUCUUUUUGCAACCACAAAUUAGUUAGUACCCCAUUUUAUACCUCAUAGUCUCAUGCAUAGAUAAGUCAACCACGUUACUUUAUCAAAUAGUGUUUAGUUAAUUGCUCGUUGUAAUAAUUAAGNNNNNNNNNNNNNNNNNNNNNNNNNNNNNNNNNNNNNNNNNNNNNNNNNNNNNNNNNNNNNNNNNNNNNNNNNNNNNNNNNNNNNNNNNNNNNNNNNNNNNNNNNNNNNNNNNNNNNNNNNNNNNNNNNNNNNNNNNNNNNNNNNNNNNNNNNNNNNNNNNNNNNNNNNNNNNNNNNNNNNNNNNNNNNNNNNNNNNNNNNNNGUUCGAGGUUCUUAUUAAUAUUCUAGGAAGGUUUUAAACGCAUCUAGAAUAUCCACUAAUGUGGUUAUCCGACGAUUAAUUUUUUUGGCUAAAAUAAUUUAACUUAGCUUGAAUUGCAAAAUUGAACUAUUAUAUAGUUGGGACCAUUUUAAGAGAAAAAUAUCAAAAUACUAAAAAAUAAAUUUAUCCAAGUGAAAUAUUUUGUAAACUUAUUUAUUUUAUUUAUUUAUUUAUUUUUAGGUCAAGUAGGAGAUGAAUAGUUUAGUUUAAAUAAUUAACUCAAAAUGGGUGUCUUUUGGGGGGUUUGAAUGUUUGAAACCUUAAAAUCAAUAUCAAUUAUUAACAAAUAAAUAAACACAAUAAAAUAAAGAGAGAGAAUUAGGCCCAAGUCUGGAUUUCCUGUCCGUCUGGGCCAGUACUUGGGCCUAAUUUCAGUUUUGGGCCCUUGGCCCAUUUAAGUCAUUUGUACCUGUCCUAUUCUAACAUAAUAGAACUAUUUUCCAUUUGGGGGCCUUAGGCCCAAUUCUUCCACCUGUUCAAACUAGCACAAUAAUUGCAAAUAAAAUGACAAGGGCUUAGGCCCAAAAAAUAACAAAAUACAACUUCUUAAAGAAGAGUGGGCCUCUUUAAGGCCAUUUUCUCAUUUUUCGUAUACACUAGGUGUAUACUAGUGUAUACAAUCUCGUAUCAGCUCCAAACCCUGUUCAUCAAAUUUUUGGGACCCCUCCUUCAAUUGCUAUGGUUGGUUGACUCGAUAAAGGAUUUUUGGGGCACUCGUGGCCCCCUUUGGAAUGCAAAGGUUGAGUCCAUGAGGACUUGGGCAUAUUUCACAUGAAAAGACACAUAAAUAAGAAUUAGCACCUUAUUAUAGGUUGAUGAAAGUAAUUAUGAAUUGAUUAAUAUUAGACUCAAACUUAAACAAGUUCCAAUAGAGUAGUAAAUCCACGGUGAUUAUGCAAACGAAGCCUUAUCACAUUACUCAACUAACAUGAAAGACAUGGUAACCUCUCAAUUAAUAUAAACUCAAGUUUCCUUUCAAAAAGUAUGAAAAUAAAAAAAAAGUAAAGCAUUAGAAGGAGACAGUAGCUAUGAUGUCAAAUAAUUAAGUGGCUAAAAUUCUAAAGAAAAAUUAUUCUGAUUAUGAAUCUACACCCAGAUGUAGCAUCUAUGAUAAACACACUUGUCACAUAAUUAAAUAUAGUCCACACAUUUCAAAAAUAAUAAUAAAUAAAUAAAUUAGGAGAAUACUUCAACUUUGCAUAUAUCUAAAAAAAAAACAAAGGAAGAGAAAAUCAAUAAGGAUUAAAUCGACUAAUACAUAGACUCUUUUUUUUAAAAAAUAAAAUAAAAUAAAAUAAAGAAAUAAGAUAAAAAUAAAUAAAUAAAUAAACAAGAGCUAAUUGAUUACAUACAAACGAAACGAAACGGUUAACAUGCUAGACUCAGUUUAAGCUUGACUAAAAAAUUUCUGAAUAGACGAUUUACCACAGAUUUAGUGCAUAUUGCAAAACCAAUGAGGUAGGACACUUUAUCCAUGGACAAACCAACAAAUAUUGCUUAUGAAAUAUAGCAAGAGAUCACAUGAUUUGCAGCCAUGAAUAGGAGGGAGCUUGGGGAUUUGCAACUUUAUUAAAAAGGGGGAAAGGAGGGAAGAAUAUACGUCAUUUAACAGACAAGAUUAGACAUUCAAAACAUAAUUAUUAAGACUACUUCAUUAUUUUGUUUCCCACCCGGUGUCCGGAGCCCACUUUGGAGUUCCGACUAAAUUCGGAUCGCGCUUUGCAGGGCCCAUUCGGGGGUGGCGCUCCCAACAAAAUUUUCUCCAUACCCAGGGCUCGAACCCGAGAUCUCUGGUUAAGGGUGAAGCACUCCCACCAGUGCACCACUACCCAUGUUGGUACCGUAUCCCUUAUUUCCUUAGGUGGAAUGGAAUAUUGAUGGAUUUUCCCUCAUUAGCUUAAUGUGAUCGAAAACUAUUGUGUACCUAACAAGUUUGAAAAUAGCAGAAGAGACAACUAAUCACUAACUCAGAAUAUUGAUCUUUUAUAAUUCUAUAAUUCCGUGGAAAAAUUGCAUCAAAAUUUAAUGUAAUUGUACAACUUGGUUUCCUCUAUUCUGAAUGUACACUAAUUGUUCUCAUAAUUGGUUCAAUGACGUGUCUUAACCUUUUAUGAUUAUAUAAAUUCUGUGGAAAAAUUGCACUAAAAUCCUCAAUUGACUUGGUCAUAUAAUAGUUUCCCUCUUUGAAAAAGUAUUGUGAAAAACAGAAGAAGAGAUGUUGAUGGAAAGUUGGACAAAAUCAUCAUAUAUCUAUCAUUUUGGCCUUAUACUAAAUUAUAUAUUAUUAUAUUUAUAUAUUAUUAAAAGUGGAAAGCUCUUGUCUUCAAAGUUGAUUUACCAUUUUGCUCUUAUAUUAAAUUAAUUUUUUUAUAAAAUAAUUUUUCUUUACACCAUAAUUAAAAAAAAUCAAUUAAAUUAGUUUUCAAUANNNNNNNNNNNNNNNNNNNNNNNNNNNNNNNNNNNNNNNNNNNNNNNNNNNNNNNNNNNNNNNNNNNNNNNNNNNNNNNNNNNNNNNNNNNNNNNNNNNNNNNNNNNNNNNNNNNNNNNNNNNNNNNNNNNNNNNNNNNNNNNNNNNNNNNNNNNNNNNNNNNNNNNNNNNNNNNNNNNNNNNNNNNNNNNNNNNNNNNNNNNNNNNNNNNNNNNNNNNNNNNNNNNNNNNNNNNNNNNNNNNNNNNNNNNNNNNNNNNNNNNNNNNNNNNNNNNNNNNNNNNNNNNNNNNNNNNNNNNNNNNNNNNNNNNNNNNNNNNNNNNNNNNNNNNNNNNNNNNNNNNNNNNNNNNNNNNNNNNNNNNNNNNNNNNNNNNNNNNNNNNNNNNNNNNNNNNUCUUUGCAUUUAAUAAUUAUAAUAACCAUAACUUUAUAUGAAACGUUGGUGGUUCAAUUAUUUAAUUGUUACGUUAACCAAUGGCCAACUUCUCAUUGCUACAGUAAGUACAAAGAAGUUGAAAAGUUGAAUUGAAUAUUAAUUAGUAAAUUAAUUCAUUAGUAAAUAAAUGAAAGGAAAUUUCAAAGGUCUAGGAAAAAAUAUUAUAUAAAGGCUAAACGAGUUCACUAAUUUCCCAUCUGCUCUUUGUAACUUUUGAGAUUGAAUGCAAAUCAUUUUAACUUCGAUUUCAUUUUUUCCCUUUUCUUUUUAUAUCCUUUGAUAGUUUGCAUAUAUAAAAGAAGAGAUGGGAGUAUGUAAGAUUGUUUUUUAUGCCUUCUAAUAGUUUGCAUAAAAGAAGAGAUGAGAAGUAUGUAAGAUUAUUGAUGCCAAAUUAGAGUAGCUGUCAUAUUCAAUUUUUACUACUCUUGAAUUAUCAGCUAUAAUAUAAUCUUCCGAGAAAUUAUGAUCAAAAUCACCAUCUCUCCUCCCUUUCAACUAUCAGUAUUACACCGUUUAUACUAGUUUUGUAAAAAAUUUAAAACAUACUAUUUUGGUGAAUUGAUUUAAACAAUGGCUUAUUUUGGUCAAAAUUUUGAUUUCUCCGGAAGGUUGAUCAUAGUUGACAUAAAUGAAUUCAUUGUUAUAGUAUAAUCUGAUUACAAUUCUUUAAGAUACAAAGAUAUUAUACUCUCUACAAAUAAGUUAUUUCAUGAUAUAAAGAAAUGGUGUUAUUUGAAUGCGUUGAUUGAUGCUCCUCUUCACGUUGAUUACUGGCUAUAACCUUUUAUCAUCAUUGCAAUAUUCAACUUUAACUUGAAUUAUUACUUGAAAAGAACUCAUUAAUCUUUUUUGUGUAUGCAUGGCAUAUUUGGUUAAUUAGAAUUACAAUACUUUGAUUUCACAUGUAUUGGAAUUUCAUUUGUUUCCAUGCACAAUUGUUAAGCUUAUAACAAUUAGCUUUAAAUUUUUAAUUAGCAUAUAUUAUUUGCGUUUUGUAAAUUUUAACGAGAAUUGUUUUAAAUAUCAUAUCUAAGUUUUUUGUUUAAAUAUUUCAGAUUCAUUGUUUUGCUAUUUGGUGUGAGCAUCACAAUUCAUUAUUCAAUUAUUAUGUCAUGAAAUUUAUUACUUAAUGUUAUUAGGUGCAAAUAUUUUGCUUAUAAAGAAGUAUUAGUAUUAAAUAUUUGCACCUAAUAACAUUAAGUAAUAAAUUUCAUGACAUAAUAAUUGAAUAAUGAAUUGUGAUGCUCACACCAAAUAGCAAAACAAUGAAUCUGAAAUAUUUAAACAAAAAACUUAGAUAUGAUAUUUAAAAAAUCAUUUAGUGCUCAACGAAGAAGUCAUUCAAAUUGGAUGAGUGUUACAUUCAUCAAUUUUAGUUUGUACUUUUUUUUGUUAUUGAUUACACUAUGGUUUUAAUAUAACUUAUAUCGUGUAUACUACUUGCUUGAGACACACGUGCAACGUACGUGUUCAGAAACUAGUAUAUCUAUAAAAGCAAACGACAGAAAACUGUGAUCCUUCAAUACAAUAAGUUGAUUACUCAGUUUUCUUUGCUUAUGCAUCAUUUUUUAAUUUGAUCACUACACCUUUAUCCUGAGUUGAGGGUCUACGAAAACAGCCUCUCACUACACCUCUUCAUAUUUGAACGGUAUCAUAUAGAUGAAAUUUCCCUCAUUAACUUAAUGUGAAAAGUCUUUUGAAAAACAACUAAUCGGAAAUUAUUUCUCAUAAAAUUUCUCUACAGGUGUAGUGAUCUUCACCAAGUUAUUCAAAACAUAUAGGAAAUUAAGACGAGUUAAUACAUCAGAUGGUCACUCAACUAUGCACUAUUUUCUCAGAAAGUCACUCAACUUUGGUUUUAAACUUAAAAGUCACUCAACUAUGAGUUUUUUUCUCAGAAAGUCACUCAAAAAUACAUGUUUAGUAGCGAUUAAGCUAUAGCCGUUAAUUAAUUACCUCUAAAGAUCAUUUUUGAUGUAGUGUAGAUCACUACAUCUUUAUCUUGAGUCGAGGGUGCACUACUAGAAAACUGUAAAUUACCUGGGAAUUUCAUUUGGGGAUUAUUUUUGCAGAAAUUUUCUAUGAAUUUUCAUGCGGAAAUAUGAAAUUCCUAAAUCUAGACUUCUCUACAUGCGAAAAAUAAUUUCCCAGAAAAAUUGGUAGGUAACUUUUGCGCCAUUUUUACAAAAUUAUUACCUGGAGAAUUAUUUGGGAAAAAUAAUUUCCAAGUAGCAUUUUCAUAGGUAAAUUUGCAAGUAUUAAAAAAUUAAUUUUUUAGUAUGUUUGCAAGAAAAUUCCUAGAAAAACCUAUUUGCAGAUUUAGCUAAAAAUAAUUACUUGAAAAUUUAUUUGCAAAUAAUUUUAUACGUGUUAUUACCUGGGGAUUGAUGUUCUACAAAUUUUGUUGGGAAUUUAUUUCUUGAGGAUUUACUUGGGAAUUUUUCUUACUUGGAGAAUUACUUGGGGAUUUUAUUGUUGCGAAUUUGGUUGAAGAUUUGUAUAGGAAUGCAUACUUGAAUUUUUUUAAAUACAAUUUAAUUGGAAGUAUUUUCUUGGAAUCUAAGGAUUUUUUUAUUUGGAGUCUUCAAGAAAUAUUUCUUUAAAAUAUAUUUAACAAAAUCUAAAACUAUAAUAAUAUAAAAAUAACAAUGACAUUAGAAAGAAUUUUAUUGUUAAAUAUAUACUCUACUUUUAGAUUAAAUAAAUUAUUAUACAAUAAUAUUAAUCUAACACUAUAUUGGAACAUUACCACAAAUGUCAUGAACAAUAUUUUUAACUUAUAUAUAGUUACAAUAUUUAGUCCUAAAAACCAAUGAUGCGAUUUUAUUUUUUUGAAAGAUACAAAGCAUUAAAAUUAUAUGGCUAGUUAUUUAUCCUUAGAAAAAUAACUAUCAUAAAUAUAUUUAUUUUUUAUUAGAUAUUACUUUAUAUUAAAUUUCGUAUUUUUGAAUAAGUCAAUCACUGUUUAAGUAGAGUAAAAUUAAAUUAUAUACAUUAUUAAUGUGAAUUUUAAUCAACCCCUAGUUGAUAGAAUUAUAUUAAAUGAAAAAUACAUAAUUUUUAACUAUAUAUCAAAUUUAUAUAUAAUUUUUUCUUACAAGCAUUAAAUAUGAUAUAAUUUCUCUAUAGUAAGUUGUUAAAUGUUAUUUAUUUGCAAAUAUUUAUUAUUAAGUAUGUUAAAAUAUAAUUAUUAAAAAAGGUAAAUUAAAAUUAUAAAACCACAAAUACCUAAUAAGAUGUACUAUCAAUUAUUGGUUAUAACUUUCUUGCACUUUAAUUUAACUUAUAGAUUUAUUUAUAUUUUCAAUUAUUUAUUUAUACGAACUUUGUAUGUAUAAUAUAAAUUUUGUCUACAUUUAAUAUGCUUAGCUAUGGAUAUUAUCUCAUAGAAAGUGUAAGCAUAAAAUUUUCAUGAUAUGUUGGGUGGUGGUGAUUUAUUUUAAAUAUAUAGUUUCACUUUUUAAGAGUUAAAUCAAAUAAACUUUAGCCAAGAAAUAGUGUUUAGUUAACUUUUUGUUUUAUUUAAUAUGGAGGUCGUUGUAAUAAUUAAGAAAUAAAAUAGUGUUUAGAUAAUUAUAGCAUUCUUUCUUACAUGACUACUUAUUUUAUUGACUUAUUUAUAUAUUGACGAUCAUCAUGAACCCAUAUUAUUAUUUUUACCUUUUUAUUCCUAUUACUAUUUUUAUUUAUUCAUUAUUGAAAUAUUCUAAAGCCUACCAAACGGUAAAACCUUUUGCAUUAUGCAAAAUAAAUUGUUGGGUGUUAAAAAAAGAUCAAAUUGUUUUUGGUGUAUUCUUUGAAUUACAAGCACUGCAACAAACAACUACAACAAAAAACAACUUUUAGCGGCAAUAAAUAUACACAUUAUUAAAGAGUGUUAAAGAUUUUGCCGGUAUUUUAAUAUUAUUAUAUCAACUUCUGAAAUUCAGCACAAUUAUUUCAAUAUCAUUGUAUAAUCUUAUUAAUGUUUUGAGUAAGAUUUGAUUAUUCUAACUUUAUAUUAUAUUUUUUCAUUGAAAAAUUUUGUUGUUUGUAUUCUUACUUUAAAGGUCUGCGUACAUCCUACCUUCUUGAAACUUUACUCGUAGGAUUACAUUAAUAAGUAUGUUAUAGGUAUUCAAUUUACAUAGGACACUUAGAAAGUAGUAUAUAUCUGUGUGGAUAAGACUGAUUGAUUUGUAAGAAGAACACAUCCAUCCUGUUAUUUGGUGAAAUCAAACAAACAAAAAAUGGCCGUGAGUCUGUUUUUCUUUUAUUCAUUUCUCUGUUUUGUGUUUUUAAUAAGUGAAUGCUUUUCUUCAUCCUUUGAUCAUCAUCUUUGCUCUCCCACUGAAGCUUCCUCUUUGCUUCAGUUCAAACAAUCCUUUCAAAUUAUGUCCAAAGAGUACUUUAGUUAUUGGUCUGAUGGAGAUUCUUUCCCGAAAACAAAGUCUUGGAAUGAGAGUAGGGAUUGCUGCAGUUGGGAUGGAGUCACUUGUGACUUAUUAAACGGUCAUGUUAUCGGGUUAGACCUUAGUAGUAGUCUGCUUUGUGGAAGUAUUCAUCCCAAUAGCAGCCUCUUCCAACUUCAUCAUCUCCAAACACUAAACCUUUAUAACAACCUCUUCAAUUAUUCUUCAAUCCCACAUAGCAUUGGCCAAUUGACGAAUUUGAGGCAUCUCAACCUUUCUCAUUCUCACUUUGGUGGGAAAAUCCCAACAGAAAACUCAUACCUUUCUAAUUUGGUUUUACUUGAUCUUUCUGUGUAUGGAUUACAACUUGAUGAGAGAACAUUUGAAACAAUGCUUCACAACUUCACAAAUCUGGAGGUACUAGCUCUCUCUCUUGGCGACAUCUCAUCACUGAUACCUGUAAGUAUUCAUCCCAAUAGCAGCCUCUUCCAGCUUCAUCAUCUCCACACACUUAACCUUGAUAACAAUUACUUUUAUCCUUCUUCGAUCCCAAAUGGCAUUGGCCGAUUGAGGAAUUUGAGGCAUCUAAAACUCUCUGGCUUUGAUGGGAAAAUCCCAACAGAAAUCUCAUACCUUUCCAAUUUGGUUUCACUUGAUCUUUCUUAUAGUUAUAAAUUCUUACAACUUGAUGAGAUAACAUUUGAAGCAAUGCUUCACAACUUCACAAAUCUGGAGAUACUUUCUCUCUGGUAUGUCAACAUCUCAUCUCCGAUACCUGUGAAUAUUUCUUCUUCCUUAAGAUAUGUGGAUCUUGCACAUACUAAUCUGCGAGGUGUUCUCACAGAGAGCUUUUUCCUUGUGCCAAACUUGGAAAGCCUCAAAUUGAGUGGGAAUGAUCUUCUCAAAGGAGUUUUUCCAAAGAUCCACCGGAGCAACACUCUGUUAAUGGAGUUGGAUAUUUCAUCCACAGGCAUCUCCGGUGAGCUGCCUGAUUCAAUUGGCACCUUUAGUUCAUUGAAUAUCUUGAACCUCGGAGGAUGUCAAUUCUCUGGUUCCAUUCCCGAUUCCAUAGGCAACCUAACCCAAAUUACGGAGUUGGCUUUGUCUUAUAAUCAUUUGGGAUAAUACAUAUAUUUGACCUUAAACUUGGCUUCAAAUUUUAACUUUGACCUCCAACUUUCAUAGUGCACAAACAAGCACUUUAACUAUCCAAUCUUUUAAUAAAUAAACACGUGAUUUUUGGAGCCAAGAGCGUGAAAUGCAAACGCUGCCACGUGUAUUAGAAAUUCCUGAUGUUUUCUCUAACCUCAAAGAGCUACGUACUUUACAUCUUUCUAAUAACAGCUUCAUCGGUUCGUUUCCCUCUUCAAUUUUAAGUUUGACACAUCUUGAAUACUUAGGAUUGACGAAUAAUUCCCUAUCUGGCCCACUGCCUAGCAACCAAAGCAUGCUUCAAAAGCUAACCGAACUGAAUUUGUCAUACAACUCACUGAAUGGUACCAUACCUUCUUGGGUGUUUAGCCUACCUUUGCUAUCUUCAGUAUCGCUCCAACAUAACCGAUUCAGAGGACUAGCCGAUGAAGUGAUCAAAACAAACCCAACAUUAAAAGAACUGCAUUUAAGCAAUAAUCACCUCAGUGGUUCUUUUCCUCAAUCACUUGUGAAUCUCACAAACCUUGAAACCCUUGGAAUUUCAUCAAAUAACAUCACCAUUGAUGAGGGUAUGAAUAUCACCUUUCUUAGCCUAUCAUCUUUAUUCUUAUCAUCUUGUCAACUGAAGGAUUUUCCACACUUCUUGAGAAAUGUAAAGACACUUCAGGUCUUGGAUAUUUCUAACAAUAAGAUUUGUGGUCAAAUCCCUAACUGGUUUAGCGGCAUGACGUGGGACUCAUUGCAGUUCCUAAACCUUUCUCAUAAUUCAUUAACAGGCCACCUACCACAAUUUCGUUACUAUAACCUACAAUAUCUUGAUCUGAAAUUUAACUUCCUUCAGGGGUCACUACCUUUAUCCAUUUGUAACAUGAGGAAACUUAUCUUAUUAGAUUUAUCACACAACUACUUCAGUGACUCAGUUCCACAUUGCUUGGGAAUCAUGGCUUCACUAACGGUGCUGAACUUAAGAAAGAACAACUUCACAGGUAGUCUUCCUCCAUUAUGUGCACAGAGCACUUCAUUGAGUACCAUUGUCGUAAAUGGCAAUCGAUUUGAAGGACCUGUUCCUGUGUCGUUGCUCAAGUGUGAUAGACUAGAAGUCCUUGAUGUGGGGAACAAUGUUAUAAAUGACACAUUUCCAGCUUGGCUCGGAACUCUUCAAGAGCUGCAGGUCCUUAUAUUAAAGUCGAACAAGUUCCAUGGACCUAUAAGUACGUGUCAGACUAAGUUUUGCUUUCCCAAGUUGCGAAUUUUUGAUCUUUCUCAUAAUGAUUUUAGUGGCUCACUUCCUGCAAAAGUUUUUGGAAACUUCAAGGCAAUGAUCAAAUUAGAUGGCGAAGAUACAGGA
rnacentral:lncRNA from 1 species